rnacentral:lncRNA from 1 species
ACUGAUCUCGUAAGCACAGGAUAAUCCGGCGGAUCCAGCACCGACAACGACGACGUCGGUCUCGGCGUAAGUGAUCAUAUCAGUCAUGUACCGCCUGGUCAUCUCACGAGAGACGAUCGAUUCCUUUAUGGGAUCGAAAGUGAAGGCGUUUAGAUCGUAGCCAGAAGUGGCGCGAACGGAAAGAGAGGCAGAUCGUGGUUUGAGACCGACGGAGAUAGGUGCGGCCGAGAUUGAUGAGCCAUGGAAGGAGGAGUCGAAAAGCCUUUGAGGCUUGGUGGAAGAGAGAGAGAGAGUGGAAGUAAUGGCCGCCAUUUGAGAGAAAGAGGAAGGUUUUAGUUUCAGGUAUUAGUGAUGAUGAUGGUGAAGUGAAAGUGUGGAGGUUGUUUGAGUAUUUAAAUUAGAAGCAGAGACAGGGAAAAAAAUAUCUGGAGAGUGAUUGCCACGUCGGGAGAUAAGGAACGAAGGGUCAUCAAAUAUUGUUGGUAUUUUCUUUAAAUAUAUAUAUAUAUAUUGUCUAUUUAUUGCGAAAUUUUUUAGAAACAUUGGCAAGCAAUGAUCUCCUUUCUUCACGGUUCUAAUUGAAUGAAAAUGACUUUUGCAAUUUGACAGAAUUAAUAGUUUAACAAUCUUUAAUAUACCUAUAUAUAUCAUUUUCAGUUUUAAAUUAUUUUAAAAUAUUUUUUCUUGUUUAAGACAAUCAAUGUUUACAUAAACAUAUAAAUGGUACAAAUUGGCUAAACCAUAAAAAUUGUUUCGACAUUCAUUUUUGGACGUAUGGCCAAAAAGAGAAAAUAAAUAUACCAUAAAGUCUAUACCAUCAUCAUUAAUUACACGUAUUACUCAAUUUUUUUUUUUUAUCACACACGUAUUACUCAAUUUUAAAAGAAACUUAUCUGAUUUGAUCCGAUUAAGCACACAUCUUUGCUUGUCAGAAAAUAAUAAAUAUUGCCAAUUAGUAUUGUGAACUAUGGAGUUCAUGAAACAUAGAGAUUUUUUUUACAGUCAAAUUCAUCAGUUCGUGGUAAUGAAAUACCUAGAAGGGUUUUGUAUGGAAAAAAAAAAAAUAUAUAUAUAUAUAUAUAUAUAUAUAUAUAACCAUUUGCAAUAAAUGUGUGGUUACACGAACACAAGAAAGUGAAAUAUCUUUGUUCGAUCGAGAUGGCUUUGGACUUUCCUAGUGAAUAAGACAGUUCGUUAUUUAUGGUGCUAAAAAACAAAACAAAAAAAUAAAUAUUAUAUCAAUUUUUAUUUAUUUAUGAAUUAUAUGAUCGACAGGCAUGUUCUUUUUGGUCAUAGAAUCUUUUUUCUUUUGUGGACCAAAAUUAAAUCUGCAAUUCAAUAUCUAAAAUCUGCAUUUCAUAACUUCAGCCUUCAGGUUGUUGGAUGUUUAAUUUAAAAAUCAAAAUAUGUAUAAGUUAAUUGAAUUAUUUUGACAAAGGUCAAGCAGUAUGUCUUUCACUCUCUUUUUUUUUUUGUUUGACAAAGGUCCCAAGCCGUAUGUUUUUUUUUUGGGGGGUAAAAGCCUAUCCCAUUAUUUUGUGGCUGAAAAAAAUAAAGAUACUAUUUUGUGGUGUAAGCAGGUGAAGAAAGUGAACGGAGUGGAAGUGUUGAAUUUGAAGCACCUAUAGAGAAAUGUUAACGUUGCACAAAGUUUUGAGGUUGGACUUAGAUGAUGAACGAGUUGUUGGCUUGAAAACUUUAGAGAUCCAAAAAACCACUUCUUUGAUCUUGGAACGUCAUGGAAUCUGCGAUGUCCAAGGACCUUCAGACUAACAAAAUUUCCAGAAAGAACAAAAAAAAACUAAUUAAUUACUUGAAUAUAUAUCGUCAAUGAGUGAGUUUGGAUUUCAAUUUUUGUUGAUAGAUUUUUUUUCUUUUCCUUAACAUAUAAAGCGACUUAGUCUUAUUAUUAGUAUUUUUUUCCAAUCCAUCACCGCUACUGUUGGUGUCUAGGGAAUUGAGUGUGGCCAGUGGUGGAGGCAUGUAUAAGGAGAUGGGGGCAACUGCCCCUAAUAGAAAAUUUUGAUUAGUGUAAUUGUUAACAAUAAUAAUUACCCCCACACUAUACAAUAUAUAUGCCACCAUUAAAUAUUUUUGCUCUCAAUGGAAAAAAUUUCUGAGAUCAUUUUUUUUUUAGAACAGAAAAAGUAACAAGAAAUCUUGUCUUUUUAAAAAUAAUUAAAGCAGAGACUUAUAGAUUCCAAAAAACACAAAACGUAGUAACGUACCACGGUCCACAUGAACCUGAAACAAAUUUCAAUUCCGUUAUAGACCACAAAACUGAAUCGAAUACACAUCUGUCGGUUCAAUGUAUAUUAAGGUUUGUUGUUGGAAUCCACAAUUUGUAAAAAUACACACUCCAAAACAAAAGAUAGAAAAAAAAAAAAAAACGAAAUCCAAUCGAGCAUGCAUGGUGAUGGUGUUGCAGAUUGGCGAGACUCGUCUCGAUCCCUAACUUGACACAUCAAUGAAGUUUCCAACACCUAAUCCAAACAAAACUCUCAUGCGUGUUAUGUUCCAAGUGAAGACACACCAUCUCAUGCUUAUUACACGUGAGUGCCAUGCAAAACUCCUUCCUCUUCCAUAAAUAGCCCAUCACUCUUCACUUCAUCAUCACUCACACAUAAACCUCAAAUCAUCAAAUACAAUCUUUUCAGCCAUGGCUAAGCUCUUACUCGUUUUCGCAACUCUUGCCCUCUUCGGCCUCUUGGCCAACGCUUCCAUCUACCGCACGAUCGUCGAGUUCGACGAAGAAGAUGACGUCAGCAACCCAAUACGUCCACUACAAGGUAAGUGCCAAAAGGAGUAUAUGCAGCAACAGCAGCUAAGUGCUUGUAGGAAUUGGAUCCAGAAACGAGCUCAACAAGGAAGAAUCGGAUAUGAAGCUGAUGACUUUGAGCUCACUCUUGAUCUUGACGACGAUGAGAACCAAAUACCUCAGCAAAAACCAGCUCUGAAACAAUGUUGUAAUGAGCUACGACAAGUGGACAAGAUGUGUGUGUGUCCUACACUGAGACAGGCGGCUCAACAAGCUAGUUUCCAGGGAAUGCAUGGACCAGGACAGGUGAAACAUAUGUUCCGGAGUGCUAAGAACUUGCCUAAGAUCUGCAACAUCCGUGAAGUUGAAUCGUGCCAGUUCAAGGCAACUCCUUACUAAAGAUCAUGAGGACAAGUUUUUAUAAGGCGUGUGCGUUCACAUGGUGGUUUUGUUAAUGAUAAUAAAAAAGCCUUACUAUUGUGGCGUGUACGUGUUUAUAUCGUAAAAAAUGUUAUGUACUUGUUUGGUUAGAGUUAUAAUGGCAAUAUUACACCUUGUAGUGUAAUGUAAUUUGCCCUACUCCUUCUAAUAAAGAGUUUCUCUUUUGGUAAUGAAAAUCGUUAGCAUCAUGCUCUCUGACUCUCAUUUAUGUGUGUUGUAAUAAAUUAUUGAGAAUUAUGAUAUAAGGCUUGUGUCACGUACAAGAAGAAACCAGUGCAACUAGAACACACAAGGUCUACGAUUUAUAUGUCCACUGGCACUAAUACUAGAAGCUGUGAAAAAAAUUGAUUUAAGUGUUUGAUCCAAACAGUUGUGUUAUGCAAGCGCUUACAAGAGAGACGAGUUUCUUUUAGUCAUAAUUAGAAGGUUUGGAUAUCAUGAAACUGGCCAACUUAAUUAGUCACUGCUAGUAAUAAUAACAUCAUACAAGAAUCAGAAGCUAACCUCGGGGACAAUGAGCUAGGUAAAACAUAGCUUUGAUAUAAGCGGCUUGAAGUUGAAUAUCGCCAAUAAGGUUGUAUUUCAAUUGUUUUUGAUUUUAUUCUUUUUUCAAAACAUAAAAAGUGAGUUAGUUAUUAUCAUUAUCUAUUUUUUUCCGAUCAUUGUGCUUCCUCAACGCUUCUUUGGAGUUUAUGGAAUUGAGUAUGGAUCAUUGAAUUUUGUAAGAAGAGAAAAAUAGUAACAAGAAAUCUAAGUUCUUUUCAAAAUAAUUUAGGCAAAGCAUAUGUUACCUUAGAAAAAACUAGAUUCAAAACCAAAACACAAGCCGUACCAAAUUAAUCCGACGUAAAUUUCAAUUCCAUUAUAGACCAAAAAACGAAUUGAGUAUACAUAUAAUGUAUGAUGUAUAUGUCAGUUCAAUAUUUAUUAAGGGUUGUUGUUGGAAUCCACAAUACACACUCCAAAACAAAACAGAGAAAAAAACAAAGAUGAAUCGAGCAUGCACAUGGUGUUGCACAUGCGGAGACAAGUCUCGAUCAUUCACUUGACACAUGCAUCAUUGAAUUUUCGAACACCUAAUCCAAAUAAAAAUCUAAUGCGUGCUAUGUUCCAAGCGCAAACACACCAUCUCAUGCUUAUUACACGUGAGUGCCAUGCAAAAUUCCUUCCUCUUCCAUAAAUAACCCAUCACUUUGACUUCACUUCACUUCACUUCAUCAUCUCUCACCCAUAAACCUCAAAUCAUCAAAUACUAUCUUUUUUUAGCAAUGGCUAAGCUCAUUCUCCUUCUCGCAACUCUUGCCCUCUUCGUCGAGUUCGACGAAGAAGAUGACGUUAGCCACCCAAUGUGUCCACUGUCCACAGAAAGGUAAGUGUCAGCAACAGAACAUAGGAGCUUGUAAAGAUUGGAUCCAGAAAUGAGCUCAACAAGGAAUAAUCGGAUAUGAAGCUGAUGACUUUGAGAUCACUCUUGAUGUUGAUCUUGAGGACGUUGAAAACCCAAAACCAGUUCUUGAAAGGUGUUGUGAUGAGCUAAGAGGAGUGGAAAAGAUGUGUGUGUGUGUCCUUCACUGAAACAGGCGGCUCAAGAGGUGAAACAUUUGUUCCAGAGUGCUAAGAACUUGCCUGAGAUCUGCAUGAUCCCUGCAGUUGUUCAAGGCUCCUUACUAAAGAUCACGAGGACAAGUUUUUAUAAAGCGUGUGCGUUCACAUGGUGGUUUUGUUGUUGAUAAUUAGAAGUCACACUAUUGUGGCGUGUACGUGAUAUAAAACGUUAUGUACUGUUCGAGUUAAAGUAAUGUAAUCCGACCUGUGUCAUUGAUUGACACCUGGACAUGGUUCUUGCGUACAAAAGAAAAGAAGAAACAGGGGAAGGCUUUGUGUCACGGACAAGAAGAAACCAAUGCAACUAGGACACACAAGUUCUACGAUUAUAUGAGAAGAGAACCACUGGCACUAAUACUAGAAGCUGUGAGAAAAUAAAUGAUAAUAGCGUUUGAUUCAAGAAACUGUUGUGUUAUAUAGAAAACGUUUACAAGAAAGUGCUUUUAUACAUCUUACACCUAAAGAGAAAACGCGUGGAGUUGGCUCCUGAUCUUGAUCUAAUUUUAACUAGACAAGAGUACUUUCUUUUAGUCAAAGUUAGAAAGGUUUGGAUACUCUACAUGCAAAAUCAUGAAACUGACCAACUUUUUGUGUUUGUGUGCUAAUUUGUAAAUAUUCAUUAAUAGUGAAAUGUUUAGGUUACGAAUUGAUUGACCUAAAAAAAAAAAACAUGGAUUGAAUAUCAUGAAACGGACCAAUUAGCCACUGCUAGUAAUAAUUAAUAGCAUCAUACAAGAAUUCAGACGCUAACCUUGGGAAUCACUGAGGUAAAACACAGCUUUGAUACAAGUGUCUUGAAAUUGUGGAAAUCAAACCACAGACAGACAGUUAUGCUUAUUUGGAAUACAUCUAAAACAAAAAUGGAGAAAAUAGCUAGGGACAUAGUGUGAAUAAUUUUUUUAUUUAUUUUUAUUGAAAGACAUGAAGCUCAGCAAAGAGAAUCUUAAAGUGAAAAGCCGGACGAACACUAAAGAAUCAUCAAACAAAAACACCAUUGAACAAGAGUCAUAGAGCUCCUUAGUAGGCCUCACAUGGGCCUAAUCUUUAACUCUAGUUUUCGGGUCAGUUUCUGAGCUAGUGAUUGGUUUACAUGAACCAAUCAAAGUUAUAUUAAACCAACUUGAACCAAAUUAGUUUAUCUGAUAACCAAUAAAAUAAUUUAAAACAAAAAAACAGAAAUCAAAAGUAAAAUACUGUAAUCAAAUACUAUAAAAAAAAAGUAAAAUACUGUAAUCAAAUUCUUAAUCUAAGACUAGCGCACGUCACGGGCAAAUAAAAAAGAAUAACGCACGUCGUACAAAUUUUGGUGGAUUUGAUUGGUUUAGAUGAAUUUUUAUAUAAGCUAAAUUGGUUCAAGCUCAGUUCGUUAAAAUCGACAAUGAAUUGGUGUAAACACAAUAGUAAGUAGAAUAUAAAUCUAAAAAAUUCUAUCCAAACGAGAAUUAAAAUCUAUCGAGCUUCAGUUGAUAUUUAGGUUUGUUUGGUUUGAUUAUUGGUAUAAUAACCAAUUAAACCAGACACUUCACAAUUACUGGUAAUAUACUUUUUAUUUAUUUAAAUAAAUUGGGAAAGAGACGUGGAAGGUGAGUCUCUCUCGCUCUCUCUCUGGUGUAGUAAAUACAAAGACGAUACGUAAAAGAGAUCUCUUUUUUUUUUUUUCAUUUAAAUAAGAAAAGAAAAAUCAUUUAUGAAGUUUGAAACAGCUUUCGUCUCUUAGGUCUUCGCUCUCUUAUCCUAAAAUCUUUCCCCUUUCUUGCUCCUAAACGUUUCCAAAGUCUUAAUCAGAUUCCUGCUUCAGGACACGCUUAAUUCCUCUUUUUUUUUUUUCUGGGUAUUUCAAUUUCAAAUUCUUUCUCAAUUUACCUCCCGAUUCCAUCAAAAACACGAAUUUGUUCAUUCAUUUGUUCGUUUAUUUUUUUCUUUCCGAUUUCUAGGUAUAUAUGAUCAUCUUCUUUAGCGGUUCAGCCUAAGUAUUUUCAGUUUGAUCGCUAAUUCUUUGUUCUGGGUUUUGCAAAUUAUUCAGUUUUUUUUUCCUUUUUGAUCAAAGCUUUGAUUUGUGUUUCGGUGUUUUUCUUGCUUCGUGACAACUUGAAGAAGAAGCAAAAAUUUCCGAGUUUGCGUGUAAUUUGUUUCUAUUUUUAGAUUCCAAUUUCAUUUUUGAUCUUCAGUACGUAAUAAAAUCUCAUAGAAUUUGCUCAAUUUCGGUACUUUUCUUGGGCAUUUUAAAUUGGAAUUAUCCCCUCCCUCUUUCUCGGAGAUUCCAUCGUGAAAGAUUUUCUUGGAAAAAUCUCAGGCGUAGAAACAGAGACUAAGUGAUGAGGAAGAACGGCGACGGUUCUCCGAAGUCGCCGACGACUACGGACGGAGUUGUGUCGCGAUCAGCUCGGAGCUCGUUUCGUGCUUUGUCUAACUGUCUUCGGGUGAUUUCCUCUGGUGCUUCCACGGUUGCUCGCUCCGCCGCAUCCGCCGCUUCUUCCGCCGUUAACCGUGACAUUGACUCUCUUCACGAUCAGGUAAAAAAAGUUGCUUUCAAUUCGGAACAAAAUUGUAUGAAACUAUGUUUAUGUGUUGUGUUGCUUUCUUCGAAAUUGAGGAACUUUCUCUGAAAUUGAGGAACUUUCUCUGCGUUAUUAGUCCAAGUUAGGAACUUGUUAUGAUGGGUCAAAGAAUCUUGCCGGUUCUUGGGGUGAAACUAUGCUUAUGUUUCUCUUCAAGGGACAGUAAUCUUUUGGGGUUUUGCUUCAUUUGGUUGAUGAUACCUUAAAAGAUCGACCUUUAGGUUACUCUAUUGAGAAGUUUUUGGGUGUUUUUGAUGAAAAAAGGUACUAUGGGCGGGGUUUGAUAAGCUAGAGAAAGAUGAUGGCGAUACUCGAAGAGUUCUUCUACUAGCGUUUCAGUCUGGAUUUCAAAUUUGGGAUGUUGAAGAAACAGAGAACGUCCAUGUUAUAGUUUCUUCACAUGAUGGACAAGCAUCGUUUAUGCAAAUGCUGCCUAGCCCAAUAGUCUCUGAAGAUUUAGAUGACAGGUUUUCUGAGAGCCGUCCUCUUGUGGCUGUGUGUGGUGACAGUUCUUGGGAAGAAAGUUCAGACAGACAGAGCAUUUCUAAGAAUGAUAGUCCCGAAAGUGAAGUCGUAGUUUCUACAAAUGUGCAUUUCUACUCGUUAAAGUCUAAGUCUUAUGUGCAUACGUUGAAAUUCCGGUCUAUGAUCUAUACGGUUAGGUGCAGUUCUCGGAUUGUUGCUGUACUACAGGCAUCUCAGGUUCGAAAUUUGUCACAUUGUGUCUGAUUUUGUUAACGUGAUUUGUCUAUUCUGAAACUAACAAUGUGUAACUUAAAAACUUGUAUUUUGCAGAUACAUUGCUUUGACGCUACAACAUUGAUAAAGGAGUACAUGAUUAUCACUAACUCCAUCACGUAUUGCUCCUUGGGUGUUGGAUAUGGUCCUCUUGCAGUUGGUCCACGAUGGAUUGCUUAUAGCGGAAGCCGUAUUGCUGACUCAAGUUCCACACUUUUCACUCCAGAGCUUAUCUCACUGUCAUCAUCACCCUCUGUUGCACAAUUUGCAAGAGACUCGAGCAGGCAGAUCGCUUCUGGGAUCGUGACUCUUGGAGACAGAGGGUACAGGUCAUUGACUAGGUACUGCUCAGAGGUUCUGCCCAAUCCGUAUAUUCCUGGUUUGAAAGCUCUCGGAGUUUCUAAUGACAAUUCGCCAGACGCGGAUAGCAUAGGAAGGGUAUACUCCAAAUUUUCCUCAUGUUGUUUUGCUCUCAAGUUGUGAUUUUCCAUUGAUAUGUGCUUUAAAACGUUUCUAUGGGGUGUGUUGCAGGUGAUAAUCAAAGAUUUUAUAAGCAAAAGCGUCAUAACGCAGUUUAAGGCACACAAGAGUCCGAUUUCAGCUUUGAGCUUUGAUCCAAGCGGCAUGCUUUUGGUGUCUGCUUCGAUUCAGGGACACAAUAUUAACGUCUUUAGAAUAAUGCCAAGAACCUCUGCAAGUAACGAUGGGAACACACAGUCUUUUGUGCAUAUGUUCAGGCUCCAGCGAGGUUUUACUAAUGCGGUAAGCAGAGCCCUUCAUUUACACCUUUUGAGAAAAUCUGACGUCUUUGACUAACCCUGAUGAGAUUUUUUCAGGUGAUACAAGACAUCAGUUUCAGCAAUGAUAGCAAUUUGAUAGUGAUUAGCUCUUCAAGAGGGACAAGCCAUCUGUUUGAGAUUAAUCCCGAGGGAGAGGGGAAUUCUCCGAUUCCUCUAUCAGCGAUUAGUAGGAUAAGAAGUGGAAACAUCAGCGGAUGGAUGGGAACAAUGAGCGGUGCUGCAGCUGCAGCAGCUGGAAUGGUUGGAGGCUCUCUUCCGGGUGCAAUCACAUCAACUUUCUGUUACUGCGUUGAACAGAAUAAGAACAAGAACUAUGGUUCUGCUUCUGAUAAUAGCUCCAAGAGGAAUCUUCUGGUUUUUGCUCCUUCUGGAUGUAUGACACAGUAUGCAUUGAAAGCAAAUCCGGUUGGGGAUGGUCAUGAGACUGCGGUGAUGACAAGGUUUGAUUUUGAGUCAGGUCCAGAGACUGAAGGGAAAGUGGCGGUUGAGCCAAUACGAAGGUGGUCCAUGAUCCAAAACCAGUCUAGAAGAGAGAUGCAAGAUCACCACAGUGACAUAUAUGGAGGUGGAGCAACUUCAUCGGAUUCUAAGAGUAAAGUGUUUCCCGAGAUUGUUAGGAAGCAGAGCGCUGAGGAAUCUUGGAAAGUAAGUAGGAAAGGAAAGGCCCGUGUGGAAGAUAAUCAUCAGUUGUACAUAUCUGAAGCAGAGUUGCAAAUGUAUCACCCAUCUCAGAAACCGUUAUGGGCAAGGCGAAAGGUAAAGUUUACUCUUUGUGUUUGAGAGAAUGAUCUGAAAAGUGGUAAUGGCCGUGUUGUGUGGAUAUGUCUGAUACUUUGUAUUUUGCACAAAACAGUUUAGGUUUCAAGAACUGGUGUUGGAUCUGAAUGAAGUGAGUAGCGGUUGUGGAGGAGGGGAGAUGGAGAUUGAAGAUAUCCAAACUCGAACAAUUGAAGCAAGAACAAGAGAUUUGGUUCCAGUCUGGGGUUCUUCUCCUAGAUCCCAACAAGUGAUGGAACAGUGAGUUUUCGGAAUCUAAUCCAUGCUCUACACUUAAGGUUUUUCUCUCUGGUCUCUGUCACAGUUUCUUGGCACUAAUAUUAUUAUGUCACAGAUCAUCGCAGAGUCCAAGGGCCAGUACACAAGGUGAUCAUCAAGUGGCUUCUCCAGAGGGUCAUGGAACGGAGACAGGGUUCGGAGUUGUACAUGGCAAGGAAGAGAGCUCGAAAACAGAGGAAGAGAGCACGAGAUCUGAAGAAGAUAGCUCGAUAUCAGAAGAAGAGACUCAAAGCAAGCCUGUAGAUAAUGAAGAAGAAGGCAUUGCAGAGGAAAAGAGUGAUAGUGAAGAGGAAUUGGAAUAGAAGAAGGUGAUGUUGUUAUUGGUUUAUUUUUUUCACCACGAACUCAGCUUCAAAGUUCAACAACAGAAGAACAAAAAUAACAGUGGAAAAUUGUAUAGAAAAAGGAAAAGAAAAUUUGUAUAUCUUUUAGACGUAAAGAAAAUUAUACUUUUCUUUUCUUUCGGAUGCCUAUUGAUUCAUAGGAUGUAAAGUGUAAACAAAUUUUUUUUUUUAUAUAUACACACGUUUAACUGCACUUUUGUUAUCAAGUUUGUAAAGAAAGAAGUGUUCACCCACAUAAAAAUGUGUUAUUUACAAAGUAGAAAACACGGAAGACUUAUGAUGAACAGAAGUGAACAUAGACACUAACAGUAAAGAAAGAGGGUCAAUAUCGAAAUUCGAAGAAACCAUUAGUUCUGAAAAUUAUGAAAGUUGAGGCUCCAAUGUCUUUGUAGAGUAUCGGUAACUUUACAUCAAUUUGGAGAAACAAAAUGGUUACUCUAUGCCACUCACUCUUGCUUUCGCUAGCUUGACGCUAGGCGUUGUGUUUGUUUAUCUCUGACUAAAUGCGUGUUAAGGAAGGUUAAUCUUCUUUGUCUACCUUUGACCUGUCCAUGUCUACACAUAGAACUGUACGUAUUUUUUUUUUUUUUGACCAAAUGGUUUAACUAAUUUAUAAGAUUAUAUGGCAGUUAUGAAACAAAAAGAAAGAUUAUAUGGCUUUUCAAUAAAUUUUAAAGCAUUUUAUGAUCUCUACACUUUCUUUUUCCACAACCUCUAAGUAUUGUAUUAAUUUAUAUCAGACGCACGGAGUAUAGGAUAGCGUUUCUUUUUCGUAGAUAUUCAGAGUGUGAACAGAUAAGAUUAGUGACAUUUGCAAUAAACUACUAUAUAGUUUAGACUUAAGAGUGUUUGACAAAAUCUACAAGUAUGUUUUGAGUGUUUUUUUAGCUAGGGGACCAAUGACGAAGAAGUAAUGAAACUUGUACGUAUACUAAAAUUGGAACGAUGACUUUAUGCAUGGAUGUCACGUGUAAACAGAGAAAAUUGUCCAAAUUUACUGCCCAUAAUAAUAUAUAAAAUAAAAAAAAGUUGACGAAGAGAGUAUGGUUAACCUUAUAAGAGAGUAUAUAAAGGAACCGUUAAGAGAAUGAAUAUAACUAACUUAAAAAGACAAAAUACAAAUUAGUCUAAAUCUAAAAUAGAUAAAGCCACUUGAAACUAGAGAGAAUCUCUAAACGACAUGGCCAUCUUAGAAGAGAAUCUGUCUAUGUUGGAGGAAACAUACGAGGGAACGGAUUUGCACCUAGCCUCAAAGCUAGGGUACGAGGUACAUGCAAAGAGCAUGAUCGAGCUCCGUAAUGCCUUAAUCAGUUCCAUCAACUCCAAAGGUGACACUCCUCUUCAUCUUGCUGCUAGCUUGGGACACACCAGCAUCUUGAUUUGGAUGUUAGAGUCCAUAGAAUUGCAUAACGCAUGCGAGACAAAAGCCCUAGAAGUUCCAAAACUUUCAGAAAUGAGGAAUAAUGAUGGCUUGACACCUCUGCAUUGUGCGGCAAUGAAUGGUUCAGUUGAAAUCCUUAGGGUAUUUCUCGAUAAGUUUCCCUCUUCUUUCUACUCAGUCACAUUAGAAAAGAAAGAGACUGUGUUUCAUGUAGCUGCAAGACAUAAGAAGGACGAAGCCUUCAUCUUCAUGGCAAAGAGUGACAAGUUAGGUCAACUUCUCUACCAGCUCGAUGUAGAGGGCAACACUGUGCUUCACGCUGCAGCCUCUGUAGGCUCUAUUGACGUAAGUUUUCUCUUCCUCCUUCGCCUUCUUCUUUUCUUUUUUCGUUUUCUGUACCUUGUGCUUAGACCCAACGAUGACUAUUUUUUCUUUUAACGAACCAACGAGGACUAUAUAGAAAAUAUGAUUAAAACAAAAUUUUCUUCCAACCUCUUUUAAAGUUUUGAAUUGCUUUAAACGUUCCACCUAACAACCUUUUCUCUUCUUUAACAUUACUUGGUAAUACUAUAUAUAAUCACCGUUAUGCGAAAAAAAAUUAUGUAGAAUCGUUUUUAUUUUGAUUUUUUGACUAAAGGGUUGUACGUAGAAUCGUUAUUUGAUAGUAAGAAAACUAUCAAAUGAGUGAAAUACUAACUAAAUGCAUGUAAAAUAACACUUUCAUGAAAAAAAGUUUUCAAAUCAUAUCACUUUUCAUGAAAGUGUUAUUUUACAUGCAUUUAGUUAGUAUUUCACUCAUUUGAUUUGAAAACUUUAAAUAUGUGCGGUUUCUGUUGUUGGUUUCCUGCUUCGGUUAACAUUUUCCAUUUGGACAUCUUACAGCUGGUAAAAUAUAUAAUAAAGGAAACAGAAGUAAAAGUCACCACCAAGAACAAGAAGGGUUUUGUAGCGGUUGACCUUCUCAACAAAGAUGAUGGAGAUUUCCUUCAGCUAUUUACCGCUCUGAUGAUGUGUGAUCUGGAAAUAGUAAUUGAACGCCCACCGAGUCCUAGAGAAAUGGGAAAUUUUGAUAGCCAAGAAGUCGAUGACUUGAAGCUCCAGAAGGAAAUUGUAAGAGUUAAAAGUAGUCCAAACAAAAAAUUUGAGAUGCAAUUGGAGGCUUUGCAAAGCGCUAGGAAUACUCUCACCAUUGUCGCGGUCUUGAUUGCAUCGGUUACUUUUACAUGCGGUAUAAACCCACCUGGUGGGGUCUAUCAAGAAACAUCUUCCAUAGGGAAAUCAACUGCGGCAAGAACCUUAGCUUACAUGAUCUUCACGAUAAGCAAUAGCAUCGCUUUGUUUACAUCAGUGAGUAUGGUCGUUCUUCUCGUCAGCAUUAUACCAUACAAACAGGAAUCACUUUUGAAAUUCUUAAUUAUAGCUCAUAGGAUGAUGUGGGUGGCUGUUGGAGCCAUGGCAAGUGCUUAUGUCUCUGCAACAUCGGUAAUUUUACCUAAUUUUGGAGAAACCAAAUGGUUACUCUAUGCCACUCUUGCUAUCGCUAGCUUGACGCUAGGAGUUAUGUUUGUUUAUCUACAUUGCAAGCUGGCUAAAUGUCAUAAAAGGAAGGUUCAUCUUCUUGGCCGCUUGACUACCCCACCAGUACGCAAUAGGUACGUAGACAUGGCCGCUAAUAUCGAAAAAGGCUACUAUAGUUUAUCAUGAUAUUGUACGAUUCACUUGAUCUAAGUUAUCAGGGGCGGAUGUAGUACAUGAGUAGUAGGGUCAAGUAUCCCCUACUCUUUUUUAUUUUUUUCUUAAAUGUUUAAGUAAAUUUAAUUAAAUAUAUUUAAUUUAGUAGAAAAAAAAAGUUUUUUGCCUCCAACUAUUUUUUUUUUCUGUUUAUAAGCUUAUGCCCUCCAACUUAAUUUUUUUCUAAAUCCGUCACUAUAAGUGAUUGAUGUUUUUUUAUGGUGUGUGUCGAUGCCUAUCAUCUCCAGUGUUCAAAUUGGGAUAUCUGUUGUAGACAACAAAAAACUAUAACAAAUGUUUCGGAUAAUAUGUAUGUUGUUAACCAAAAGUUUUUCUAAAAAUGUACAAUAUAAUUUUUAUCUACUAUGGAUACAAAUAACCUUUGAAAUCCCACCUCUUACUUUAGCUUUUCGGAUUUAAUACUUUUGUAUCGAUUUUUUUUAAUUUAUUUUAUUUGAUAGAUGUCCUCUCCAACUUAGGUUCGAUCCUCUAUAUGACAAUAUAUCUCAUGUGAAAAUUGUAAGCCACAUGUAUCUUUAUCAAGACCGUAGACGUAGGCCCAAAAGGUUUCCAUAACUAGCAGAAAUUGAAACGUGCAAAUCUGCCAAAUCAUAACACAGGAAAGGCAAAAAGGCUAAAGUAUUACAAAUUACAAAAAGACUUCUUGUUUGGGUAGGGGCGAGACAGAACAACUUAAUUAAGUUUAAAAAAAGGGUAGCUAUAGAAACUAAAGAUGAAAUUAGUCCUCAAAAAUUAAAGAGCAUAGACACUAACAGUAAAGAAAGAGGGUCAAUAUCGAAAUUCGAAGAAACCAUUAGUUCUGAAAAAUUCUGAAGUUGAAGCUCCAAUGUCUUUGUAGAGUAUCGGUAACUUUACAUUAAUUUGGAGAAACAAAAUGGUUACUCUAUGCCACUCACUCUUGCUUUCGCUAGCUUGACGCUAGGCGUUAUGUUUGUUAUCUCUGGCGAAAUGCGUGUUAAGGAAGGUUAUUCUUCUUAUCUACCUUUGACAUUUACUUUAUCUUUCUGAAAAAAAAAAAAAAAGAUUUUUCCAUGUCUACACAUAAAACUGUACGUUUUUUAUUUAUUUUAACCCACGGAGUAUAGGAUAGAGAUUCUUUUUCGUAGAUAUUCAGAUUGUGAACAGGUAAGAUUAGUGACAUUUGCUAUAAACUAAUAUAUAUUUUAGACUUAGGAGCGUUUGACAAAACCUACAAGUAUAUUUGAGUUUUUUUAGCUAGGGAACCAAUGACGAAGAAGUAAUUAAACCUCUUCGUAUCCUUAUGACUUUAUGCAUAGAUGUCACGUGAACCGAAAAAAAUUGUCCAAAUUUUACCCCCACUAUGAUAUAUAAAUUGGAAAAAAGAGUUGACGAAGAGGGUAUGGUUGGCCUUAUAAGAGAGUAUUUAAAGGAAUUGUUAGGAGAAUGAAUAUAACUAUAACUUAAAAAGACAAAUGCAAAUUAGUUUAAAAAUAUCAAAUAGAUCCUAAGACCAAAGAGCCCCAAAGCCACUUCAAACUAAAGAGAAUCUCAGAGUAAAACUGGAACGAUGACUUUAUGCAUAGAUUUAUUGUCACGUAUAAACAGUAAAAAUUGUCCAAAUUUUACUCCCCACUAUAAUAUAUAAAUUGAAAAAAAGGAGUUGACGAAGAGGGUAUGGUUGACCUUAUGAGAGGGUAUUUAAAGGAACCGGUAAUUAAGAGAAUGAAUAUAAGAAUAACUUAAAAAGACAAUUGCAAAUUAGUUUAAAAAUCUCAAAAUAGAUUCUAAGACCAAAGAGUUCCAAAGCUACUUGAAACUAAAGAGAAUCUCAGACUAACUGGGAUGAUGACUUUUUGCAUGGAAGAGGGUAUGGUUGACUUUAUAAGAGAGUAUUUAAAGGAAUCUUUAAGAGAAUUAGAGAAAUAAUAUCACUAUAACUUAAAAAGACAAAUACAAAUUAGUUUAAAUAUCUCAAAUAGAUCCUAAGAUCAAAGAGUCCCAAAGCCACUUGAAACUAAAGAGAAUCUCAGACUAACUGGAACGAUGACUUUAUGCAUGAAUUUAUUGUCACGUGUAUACCGAAAAAAUUGUCCAAAUUUUACUCUCCAUAAUAAUAUAUAAAAUGAAAAGAAAUGUUGACGAAGAGGGUAUGGUUGACCUUAGACCAUUAUUAUCGCAGAGUUUUAUAUAGGUUUCUUAGCCCAAAAAACGAAUAAAAUAAUGUUUUAAGCCCAAAAUUAAUAAAAAUCGAUUCUUAUUUGGGACCUGCAAGAAACGACUCUUAUUUCACACGUGUCAUAAAUCUAUUGGACAGACAAAUCUCUCGGCCAAAUUUUCAAUUCUCGACCAUUUUUCCUCUUCAGAUUCCGACUCUUCAUUCUUCGACCAUUUCCCGGUCAAAUCAUCUCCACCGACGAUUCAUCCUCAUCUUCGUCCCCAUCUCCGACGCGUUGCCUGUCUCCUCCAAGCCGAUACACCUAUGAUGCCCCGAGAUCUAUGUCACCGUCUCAUAAACGAUUCGCGAAGAAAACCAGCUCGUAGAGGUUUGUUACUCUUCACUUUCCUCUUUGGCAAUGAUGGUUUUGAGAAAAAUGAUGAUUUGAAUCUUCAAUUAGGUGAUUACAGACUUGGGAGACCACCUGACGCACGUUAUCUCAGUGAACCUGGAUGAUAAUCCUAUUUAAUUUGAUGGUGAUUUGAUAUCCUCUUUAAUCAUAAGGCCUGGUGUUGGCAAGACCACUGUUUUGCUAGAGAUUGUUUGUGUCUUGUCCGAUGAAUUCCAGAAAAAGAGUGGUGGGUCUUCUUGUCCUUCCUCUAUAUUUCUCUUAGCCCUGAAAGGUUUUGUUUUUUUCUUUUUGAUAAAAAGUGAUUUAGUAUGUGCAAUGUGUGUUUAGAUGAUAAUUGAUACAAGUAACGAAAUAGGAGGAGACGGCGAUAUUCCACACUUGGCGAUUGUAGGUGCAUAGAAUGCAAGUGUCGAAGCCAUCUCUGCAGCAUAAAGUGAUGAUCGAGGCAGUAGAGAACCAUAUGUUUCAGGUGAUCAUCGUUGAUGAGAUCGGCACAGAAGCUGAGGCGCUUGCUUGUCGUUCCAUUGCUGAGCGGGGAGUGAUGCUAAUUGGCACUGCUCAUGGAGAACAGCUCCAGAACAUCAUAAAGAAUCCUACUCUUUCAGACUUGGUAAUAAUUGCUGUUCUGAAAUGUUAUAUUUAUCCCUUUGCUUCAGCUUUUUUUCUCAAUGUUCUUUGUCCCUUUACUGAUUUUUUCACCAAAUCUGUUCUUGCCUCUGCAGUCACUAUCUUCUUGACAUUCAAUAUAUUCUUGGCUUACUCUUGUGCAGACUGAAAAGAGUGUUGAUAUGUUGCUUCGAGGAAGAAACCCCAUGGUUGAGGUACACAAUAACUGAAUAUACAUAAUGAUGGUUGAUCGGUUGAGAUGUAAAGGGAACUGAUUUGACUUGUGUAGGCUAUUAUAACUAUGGUUUUCGAUUUCUAGGUAAGGAGAAGAGAUGAGGAGUUCAACGUAGUGAUAGAAAGAUGGAAGUCAUACGAUUGACAAGGCAUCUGAGUUUUCCUUUUAAUGGUUGUUCAUGUCACAAAUUCUGUCUUUCUUGUGAACAAAGGUGUUGUCAGUAGAUUGAAAAAACAAAAAAAACAUUUGUAUAAAUGACUAAUGCAAUUUGGAGAUUGUGUGUCCAUGUCUAUUUAGAAAAACAUGACAUGAGGUAUUAAAACUUCCCUCUGCUUGCUUCUUCUCACUAGUACCAAUCUUCACUAUUAAUUUUUUUUUUUUUUAGAAACUCAUUUAGAGGUUUUGCAAUGAACCAUCAAAAAUAUUGAGUUUCUUGUUAAGAGUUUUUAAUCUAUAAUUAAUAAUAAAAAAUUGUUAAGAAACUCAUUAGAAGUUUUAGGGAUAAUGAUGCUCUUAUAAGACAGUAUAUAAAAGAACCGUUAAGAGAAUGAAUAUAACCAACUUAAAAAGACAAAUGCAAAUUAGUCUAAAUCUCAAAUAGAUCCUAAGACCAAAGAGUUCCAAAGCCACUUCAAACUAAAGAAAAUCUCAGAAACGACAUGGCUAUCAUAGAAGACAAUCUGUCUAUGUUGGAGGAAGCAUACGAUGGAACCGUUUUGCACCUAACCACGCAGCUAGGGUUCGAGGUACAUGCAAAGAAGAUGAUCGAGCUCCGUACUGCCUUAAUCAGUUCCGCUAACUCCAAAGGUGACACUCCACUUCAUCUUGCUGCUAGCUUGGGACACACCAGCAGGGCCGGCCCAGUUGUAUCUGACGCCUAAAGCAAAAAUAAAUAUUUACAUAACAAAUACAUGAGGGAGAAUCGAACUUGGGUCAUUUGACAACAGAAUGAUGGACUAACCACUAAACUAUAAAAGGAACUUAACUAAAAUUUGCUACUCUUAAUAUUUAUACUAAAUUUGGUGCCUAAAGCCUAUGCUUUAGCAGCUUUAGUUCAGGGCCGGCCCUGCACACCAGCAUCUUACUUUGGAUGUUAGAGUCCAUAGCAUUGCAUACCGCAAGCGAGACAAAAGCCCUAGAAGUUCCAAAACUUGCAGAAAUGAUGAAUAAUGAUGGCUUGACACCCCUGCAUUGUGCGGCAAUGAAUGGUUCAGUUGAAAUCCUUAGGGUAUUUCUCGAUAAGUUUCCCUCUUUAUUCUACUCAGUCACAUUAGCAAAGAAAGAGACUGUGUUUCACGUAGCUGCCAGACACAAGAAGCAAUAAGCCUUCAUCUUCAUGGCAAAGAGUGACAAGUUAGGCCAACUUCUUUACCAGCUCGAUGUAGAGGGCAACACUGUGCUUCACGCUGCCGCCUCUGUAGGCUCCAUUGCCGUAAGUUUUCUAUUUCUCCUUCUCCUUCUCCUUCUUCUUUUAUUUAUUUCGUUUUCUAUACGUUGUGCUUAGACCCAACGAUGACUAUUUUUCUUUUAACGUCCCAACGAUGACUACAUAGAAAAUAUAUUUAAAAUAAAUUUUUCUUUCAUUUAUCAACCUCUUCUAAAGUUCCAAAUUGCUUUAAAAUUUCCACCUAACAACCUUUCCUCUUCUUUAACAUUACUUGGAAAUACUAUAUAUAUAACUGCCGUGAUGCAAAAACAAAUUAUGUAGAAUCGUUUUUAAUAUAAUUUUUGACUAAAGGUUUGUACGUAGAAUCGUUAUUUGAUAGUUAAAAAAAUAUCAAAUGAGUGUAAAUGCAUUUAAAAUAACACACUCAUGAAAAGUGAUAUGAUUUGAAAAAUUCAAAUAUGCGGGUUUUGUUGUUGGUUUCCUGCUUUGGUUAACAUUUUCCAUUUGGACAUAUUACAGCUGGUAAAAUAUAUAAUAAAGGAAACAGAAGUAAAAGUCACCACCAAGAACAAGAAGGGUUUUGUAGCGGUUGACCUUCUCAACAAAGAUGAUGGAGAUUUCCUUCAGCUAUUUACCGCUCUGAUGAUGUGUGAUCUGGAAAUAGUAAUUGAACGCCCACCGAGUCCUAGAGAAAUGGGAAAUUUUGAUAGCCAAGAAGUCGAUGACUUGAAGCUCCAGAAGGAAAUUGUAAGAGUUAAAAGUAGUCCAAACAAAAAAUUUGAGAUGCAAUUGGAGGCUUUGCAAAGCGCUAGGAAUACUCUCACCAUUGUCGCGGUCUUGAUUGCAUCGGUUACUUUUACAUGCGGUAUAAACCCACCUGGUGGGGUCUAUCAAGAAGAACAUUCCAUAGGGAAAUCAACCGCGGCAAGAACCUUAGCUUUCAUGAUCUUCAAGAUAAGCAAUAGCAUCGUUUUGUUUACAUCAGUGAGUAUGGUCGUUCUUCUGGUUUGCAUUAUACCAUACAACGAAGAUUCACUUUUGAAAUUCUUGGUUAUAGCUCAUAGGAUGAUGUGGGUGGCUGUUGGAGCCAUGGCAAGUGCUUAUGUCUCCGCAACAUCGGUAAUUUUACCUAAUUUUAGAGAAACCAAAUGGUUACUCUAUGCAGGGCCGGAUCUGGGGAUAACCUGAUGAAACAUCCGCCUAUAGCUUCCAAAAUUUUUCUUUGAUUAUUACGAAUUUUUGGGCCUCCAAAUCACAAAAAAAAUAUUUGUUCUUAAAUUGUUUCUAGCCCCCAAAUUUUCAGAUCCCAUCCUGACACUAUGCCACUCUUGCUAUCGCUAGCUUGACGCUAGGCGUUAUGUUUGUUUAUCUACAUUUCAAGCUGGCUAAAUAUCAAAUAAGGAAGGGUCAUCUUCUUGACCACUUGACUAUCCCGCCAGUGCGCAAGGAUAGGUACGUAGACAUGGCCGCUAAUCUAAAAAAAGGCUACUAUAGUUUAGCAUGAUACUAAAUACUAGAUAAGGAUGGACUUAUAAUAAGAUAUUCUACAAUUUAAGCGAAUAAUUAACUUUGAAUCAUUUUCUAUUAUAUAAUAAGAUUUUAUAAGUCACAUGAUCUAUGAGUGAUUGAUGGUUUUUUUAUGUGUGUCGAUGCUUAUCAUCUCCAAUGUUCAAAUUGGGAUAUAUGUUGUAGACAAAAAAAAAAAAGAACAAUAACAAAUGUUUUUGGAUAAUAUGUUUGUUGACAACAAGUUUUUUUUUUAAAUGUACAAUAUCAUUUUUAUCUAUUAUGGAUACAAAAAAAAAACUCUUUUCAGAUUCAAUGCUUUUGUAUCAACUUUUUUUACUUUUAUUUGAUAGAUGUCCUCUCCAACUCAGGUUCGAUCCUCUAUAUAUCUUAUGUGAAUUGUAUCUUUAUUAAGGCCGUAGAACUAGGCCCAAAAGGUUUCCAUAACUAGCAGAAACUGAAACGUGCAAAUCAUAUAUAUUACAAAGGAAGCUAAAGUAAAUAACAAAAAGACUUCUUGUUUGGGUAGGGGCCAGACAGAACAACUUAAGUUUAAAAAAAAAAGGGUAGCUAUAGAAAUUAGAGAGGAAAUUAGUCCUCAAAAAGUAAAUUCUGAAGUUGAAGCUACAAUGUCUUUGUUCAAAGACUUUAUUUAGAGGUAAAGCUAUGCCUUGUAACCACCAAAUAGCUCCUUUUCAUCUACACUCUCAAUAUUUUUUUAAACCAUCUCUGCGUUGCCUUCCCUUGACUUGUCUAUCUCUCUCCAACUUCCCUCCUUCAAUAUAAAGCCUAAUUCUUAAACCGAAUUCCCCUAAACCGAACCGAUCUAUACCAUACCAACAAGAAUCUUGGUUACGGUUAAUCAGAUAAAUUAACAACAACGUCUUGAAUGUUAUAGUUAUAUACCGGGAAAAAAACCAAAGCUUUUUCUUAACAGAAACCCAUUACAUCAAACCGUGGCCUUUGUAAUUCUAACAAACAAAAACAUUUCAUUUUCUUCACAUGAAACAUCAGAUACGAUCUGCCAUUAAUAACCUAAACACAAAGCAAGGUUAGGUAAAUGACAUAGACCCUUUUGAAUAACCAAACAUACACAAUACAUAACAACGUAAGAUCCCAUUUUCCCUCUUCGGACAUCCAUCUCCAUUCAGACAAAACCACAUUCAGAAAAGAAAAGGCGAACAAAGACAGUAAACAGAACAGAGCAAAAAAACAGAGAAAGAUGCAAUUGCAUAUAUCUCCGAGCUUGAGACAUGUGACUGUGGUCACAGGGAAAGGAUUGAGAGAGUUCAUAAAAGUGAAGGUGGGUUCUAGAAGAUUCUCGUAUCAGAUGAUGUUUUACUCUUUGCUCUUUUUCACUUUUCUUCUCCGAUUCGUCUUCGUUCUCUCCACCGUUGAUACUAUCGAUGGCGAUCCGUCUCCUUGCUCCUCUCUUGGUACGUUUCUUCUACUUCUCUCUUUCUUGCUUUCUUUUAUCUAAAUCCGGAAAUUUAAGUUAAUGUUUCAACUACUAAUCGCAAGAUAUUUUUUUUGUUUUUCUUUUCGCUCUGAAUUUAAAAUUUUGAUUUCCUCACAUUUUCUUGAAAAAUUUGUAAAUAGAUAACUGCGUUUUCAUUGUUACUUUUGAUCAUUUUGUAGAUACACUAAUAAAUAAAUAUACAAUAGUUGAAGUUCAUGUAAAAGAAUAAUCUAAACGAAUGAUAUUCAAUUACUUCUAGAGAUUUACGCCCAAAAGUGAAUAAUCCAAGAACUGGUCGGUUUGUUUCAGGUUUAUUUUGUAGUGUAAUGGUCGAGCUUCAUCAAAUAUUUAAAAUCAUUUCAAAGAUUCAAAAGAGAGAAAUUAGUUAAUCUCAUAAUUAAAACAUUAUCUAGAUAUGAGACAAAGUUUUCUUUUUUUUAUUUCUAAUUAACAGCUUGCUUGGGAAAAAGACUAAAGCCAAAGCUUUUAGGAAGAAGGGUUGUUGAGUCUGGUGUAAGUUCUCUAACUUCAAUUUCAGACCCUUGAACACAUUUACAUUUACUGUGGUUAAAAAAGGUUAUUUUUCUUUGGUUAUUUAGAAUGUUCCAGAAGCUAUGUACCAAGUUUUGGAACAGCCGUUAAAUGAACAAGAGCUAAAAGGAAGAUCAGACAUACCUCAAACACUUCAAGAUUUCAUGUCAGAAGUCAAAAGAAGCAAAUCAGACGCAAGAGAGUUUGCUCAAAAGCUAAAAGAAAUGGUCACAUUGAUGGAACAAAGAACAAGAACGGCUAAGAUCCAAGAGUAUUUAUACCGACACGUCGCAUCAAGCAGCAUUCCCAAACAACUUCACUGUUUAGCUCUUAAACUAGCCAACGAACAUUCCAUAAACGCAGCCGCACGUCUCCAGCUUCCAGACGCCGAGCUAGUCCCAACCUUAGUCGACAACAACUACUUUCACUAUGUCUUGGCUUCAGACAAUAUUCUUGCAGCUUCGGUUGUGGCUAAGUCAUUGGUUCAAAACUCUUUGAGACCUCACAAGAUCGUUCUUCACAUCAUAACGGAUAGGAAAACUUAUUUCCCAAUGCAAGCUUGGUUCUCAUUGCAUCCUCUGUCUCCAGCAAUAAUUGAAGUCAAGGCUUUGCAUCAUUUUGAUUGGUUAUCAAAAGGGAAAGUCCCGGUUUUGGAAGCUAUGGAGAAGGAUCAGAGAGUGAGGUCUCAAUUCAGAGGUGGAUCAUCGGUUAUUGUGGCUAAUAACAACGAAAAUCCGGUUGUUGUUGCUGCUAAGUUACAAGCUCUUAGCCCUAAGUAUAACUCCUUGAUGAAUCACAUCCGUAUUCAUCUACCAGAGGUAAGUUCCAUAAUUGAGAAAAUACUUGAGCAUUAUAUUACCCCUUUGAAUGCCUCAACAGUCUUUGUUUCUUCGCAGUUGUUUCCGAGCCUAAACAAGGUUGUGUUUCUAGACGAUGACAUUGUGAUCCAAACUGAUCUUUCACCUCUUUGGGACAUUGACAUGGAUGGGAAAGUGAAUGGAGCAGUGGAGACAUGUAGAGGAGAAGACAAGUUUGUCAUGUCAAAGAAGUUCAAGAGUUACCUCAAUUUCUCAAACCCGAUAAUUGCCAGAAACUUUGACCCAGAGGAAUGUGCUUGGGCUUACGGGAUGAAUGUUUUCGACUUAGCGGCUUGGAGAAAGACUAACAUAAGCUCCACUUACUAUCAUUGGCUUGACGAGGUAAUUCAAAACCACUAACUAAAACAUAACUCAUUAUCAAGUGGCAUUCAACUUAAAACUCAUGACCAUUUUCAUGCAUUAUGUUGCAGAACUUAAAAUCAGACCUGAGUUUGUGGCAGCUGGGAACUUUGCCUCCCGGGUUGAUAGCUUUCCACGGUCAUGUCCAGACCAUAGAUCCGUUCUGGCAUAUGCUUGGUCUUGGAUACCAAGAGACCACGAGCUUUGCUGAUGCUGAAAGCGCAGCUGUUGUUCAUUUCAACGGAAGAGCUAAGCCUUGGCUUGAUAUAGCAUUUCCUCAUUUACGUCCUCUCUGGGCUAAGUAUCUUGAUUCCUCUGACAGGUUCAUCAAGAGCUGUCACAUUAGAGCUUCAUCAUAAUAAUCACAAAACCAAAACUCAGUUCGUACAUUGGCUAAAACCCAGAGAAGAGAGAGAUUCACAGAUCCAAACAUGAAACAUAGGAGCAAACUUUUCUUCAAUGGAGUUUGUACUUCUCUGGUCAAGAUACCCUCUUCCAGAUCAUGUUUUGCUGUCUCUUUAGUUUUCAGUCUCUCCUGUUUCUAAUUUUUUGUACUUUCAAGACUCUUAUGGCGAGGAACAUUCUAUGUAUUAAUGUAAGAACACAUAAUGUGUGAGAAUAUCUGCCAAACUCUACUUAAAUUUACAUGUGAAUAGAUAACAUUGCGCAAAGCAAUUGGAGUUUUACAAUGUCAUAUCAUUGUUCAACAGAUAACAGUUACGAAGAUAACACCAUAAAACGAAAGCAACGAUAAGACUAAGAAAGCCGAGAAAGAGGAGAGCAAAACAAAUGGAGACUUUUCUUUCAGCGGAAGCGAGAAGCAAACCAAUUGAUGAUUUUUUUUCCUGAGGUCUUUGUCUCCCAGUUAAGCAACUGGUGGACGAAGGACAUGAUCCUGAGAAGUAUCGACUGAAGCAGGAGGCAUGAACUGCCACAUGGCAACUCCUGGGUAACUGAUGAUUGGCACCAUCUUGUUUCCGGGAGCUUGGCCUUGUGCAGAAGCAAAAGCAGUUGGCAUCAUAGGUGGAGCUGGGAAAAAGCUUGGUUGAGGAGCAUUCAUGGUUUUCAGCUGUUGCUCCAGCUUCUCUUUCUCUGUCUUCAGCCUCUGUUUCUCAUCUCGCAACUCGUUUUUCUCAGUCUGAUCGAAAUCACAAGGAAACUAGUAAGCAUUUCGAUGAAUUUCAAUGGAUGACCACAAAUCAAAGAAAAUUUUUACCUUUAACUCUUUGAUUUUGUCCUGGAGACUUGAAUUGGAGUCCUUCAACUUCUGGGCUUCGCCCCGUAGCUGUGCCACCAUGCGGACAGCAUCAACCAAGAUUGCAGCCUUGUCUGUUUUGGGAGGAUUCCCAGGCUCCAAAAUUGCACCCAAUUCCGUAAACCUGUUAUUCAUUAAAAAAGGCUAUAAAUUUCAGUUCCUACGUGAGGGAAAAGAAGGAAAUACGAAAUAAAAAGAUUACUUGUCAUUCAAUCUGUCACGUCGCAGCUUCUCUCUACAUGCUUUUGAGCCAGUGGCAGAGGAUGAUUCACAUCUACCCCUGAGACAAGUAAUGACCAGUGUUACUUUUUUCCGAAACCUUGUCAAGCCAAAAGCAUUUGAAGAGAGCCAAUACAAAUCCCCCAAAACAGUUCAGUCAUGAACUGGUUUCUCAAAGUUUUAAAUUCCAGAAGUUGCUAUAGUUUCGUGUUUCAGUCAGUUUUUCGAAUAAAAGCGCGACAGAUGAAGUUUACCAGAAGAAGCUUACCUCUUUUUGGAGCCAGGUUCCUUGCUGGCUUCUGAAUUUCCAGCUGAGACAUCAACUCCCGCGCUGAAUCAACAAGAAAAAACAUCAAAGCAACUAAGUUAUUACUACAAUACAAACAAUCGAAGAGAAUUACCAGAAAUCAUUCUAACACUUAUCUAUAUCCAACAAAAGCUCCGAAAACUUAUAGUCAAUCAGGCAAAAACUUACAGCUGCUCAUUACCAAGGAACAAGAUUUAUUAAGAAUAUUUAGCAUGGUUAGGUCAAACCAGCCACUCAGAUAGAAGGCCCUAUCCACAAAAACGAAUCUAAUUCCCACCUAAUAAAGUGAUAUAGAUCAAUCGAUUCCGGAAUCUAGCAACAUGUCAGAAGUACACUAAAACAUGUCAGGCACACACACAGUUGACUUUGGAUAAACAAACCAAAGACCUCUCCUGAAGACUUCACAUCAUUUUACGAAGUGCAACGAAAUCUCACCAGCUAAAGAAACCAAUUUUUAAGCUUAAAAAGUAUAUUUCGAUGGUAAAGAAGUAACAAUAGGGUCUCAGUUUCUUCUCUAUAAGCUACUCAAACAAUCCCACAAGCUUCAACUUAGCCAAGCAAAUUACGAAGUCCACCACAAUUUUACUCUUGAAAUAUUGUUUUUUUUUAAACCCUAUGAGAAAAAAGUCCAUUUUUUUAGCUGAAUAUGCUAAUAUGUGAGCAAGUAAUUAGGCUUUUCCUUGAUCAAAAUGAAACGCCACACACUCGCAUGCCAGUGUUAACCAGAAGAAAUUCUUCAAGCAAUCACACAAACAUGCUACACUAAUUUCUCCCAAAUCAAUCUGAAGCUCUUAAAAACAGAUCAGAACCCUAAUUUGAAGCACUUAGACACAAGAGGGAAGAGCUCAAUUAAAAAAAAAACGAACCUGGAGUUUGAAGAAACGCCAAUAGGUUGCUGCACGGGCCAAGAGAAACCUGGACCUUGGAUUGUGAAACUUCCAUAGUCGGCAUCAAUCAGGUCGCAAAUCCAAUUAGCGUUUUCGGGCGACACCAUCUCCUGAAACUCCACCGGUGAAAAAAAAGGGGAAAAAAGAAUACGGCGAGUAUAUAACACUCCCGGUGAAUUGAAUUUUCCCGGCGGCGAUCAGAGAGAUCCUUUUGUGGAAGAGGGAAAUUUAGCCAAAGCGAUUUCUGCCGUUAAAUUAUAUAUUUUUGUGUGUCGAAGGAAACAUAGAAGAAGAAAAAAACUGUUGGAGGAGACGAAUUGUUGUGGAAUCUUGGAAUCCAGAGAUUAGAGUUGUUUUCACGCGCAGACUUCAUACUUUUUGGGCUUACAAGGCCCAUAUAUUAUAUCUAAUGUUUUUUUAAUUUAUUUAUUCAUUCAUUUGUGUGACAUCAUCAUAUUUUAUCAAUACAACUAGUAAUUAUAUUUUCAAGAAAAAACAAAAUCUCAACCGCUCAGCUCAAGCUUGCUUGUAUUUUAAUUUCGGUUUGAAAUGCCAAAAUAAAUAAGCUACACAAUUUAUUCAAGUAAAUAAAUACCCAGUAGAAUAUUCAAUAUGAAAAACGUAAAAAGUAACAUUAAAAGAUAGCCAUAUAAGGAAAAAAAUAUGAAGAGCAUUAUAUCUUUUACUGUUAUAGUAAGGGAUUACCAAUCAAAUUAACAAUAUCUAUCAUCACUUAGCUGGUUUUAUUUAUUUCUGAUAAUUAAAAAAAAACAUAGUACUAUGUGGUAUGUGUUUUAUAUUGCCCGUUGCUUAUAAGAUUUAACAAACGAAAUUGAUAAUUAUUUCUGAUCAGGUUGGUUGGAUUGGAUCGAAAUUAUUCGAGAACAUGGUUGGAUGGUCGUGAUCUAGGAGAUCAAACUCUCCUGCUUCCUCCCGUACAUACAUGAAAAGUUGCUUUAAAUUUUGUGAAAAUAAAGUCAAAAAUAUUCCUUACAUGAAAAACUGGUCAGUCCGAUAUUAAUAUUUUAAGUUUAUAGUGUUUUUCUAACAGUAAAAAAUUAAACAAAGGUCAAACGGUAGAAAUUUACGUUUAUUAUAACUGUAUAAUGAAAGGGCAAAUACUUUAAGUCUACAACUGUACGUAAUAUCAAUAUGCACCAUUUUGCAUAUAUUUAUAGAAUUAUAAGUUUUGCAAAUAUCUUGGUUGAAAUGCCACAAGAAUUAAGUACAGUUUUUCAAAGAAGUAUAUAUGCAGUAAAAAAAUACAAUGAAUCAGUUUUAUGAAAAAUCGAUUUUUGGUUUCAACUAUGAGACCAGUAACCACUAGAUUACCUAUCAUCACCUUCUUCUUCUUUUUUGUCAACGAUACUUAUCAUCACUCUUAAAAGAAUGUAGUAGUAUACUGGUGGUGUAAUUCACACUCCCGGUUUAACUCGGUAUUAAUCGAGACCGGUCCGGAAAGACUUCGGUUUAUAAAGAUUGGGAUCGAAGUUAAAUCGGGUGGGCCGACAUAUGACUUUCUAGAAUACCUAUUAAAGUCCAAUUUACGAAAUUGGCCGACUUUCCCGAAUUUCACGGAGGAUUUCCGAAAAUACCGGGGAGAAAAAUGUUAAAUCCCAUAUCGAGAAGGAAAAGAAAAGUUCUUCUCAAACCGCCUUAGAAUUCAUAUAAAUAGGGAAUAAUUUCAUUCAUUCGAGGCAUCCGCAAAUAAACAGCAGAGAGACCUUUGAAGAACUUUGAGAUCGUCAUCUUCCUUUGUUAACAAGGUCGUCGAAACUACGACGAUCUUAACUAAGUUGUAUUUUUCUAAACUAUCUUCUAAUAAAACGAGACUUUCGAUUCGAAUAUUACUGUUUUACCCCUUAGUGUGAUAUUACAUAUCAACAUAUAUAUGUGUUUUUUAUUUGACCAUUUGGCUUUUAUUCACAUAUUAAAUGGAUGAUUUUUUUUAUGUGAUCAGAUUAGUUGGAUUGGAUCGAAAUUAUUCGAGAACAUGGUUGGAUGGUCGUGAUCUAGGAGGUCACAUUCUUCUGCUUCCUCCCGUACAUACAUGAAAAAAUCCUUAAAAAUUUGUAGCAAGGAAAGUCAAGAAUAUUCCGUACGAAACUAUAUAAUUUAGAUCAGUUCGGCAUUUUCUAACUGUUAACAUUUCAAAAGAGGACCAGGUAUGAUCACAGAAGCUUAACACUCUAUUAUACAUAACAUAAUAAUAUUUUAACGUAUUGUUAUGAUGGAAUCUUUUGAUACAUACAUUUCUUUUCUUGAUUUGAGAUAGACAUUAAUCUUUCAACUAGCAUUGUACGUAAUAACUUAUUGUUAGUGUCAAGUUUUAAAAAUAAUAAUCUUAGAUGCCCAUCGACAUCUCAGGUUCAAAUCCAAAAUUUUACAAUAUAGGAACGGUGGAUUCUGAAAAGAAUUAGAGGAAUUUUUGGGGGACAAUAAGUAAAUUUUUUUAUCCCCCACAAUACAUAAGACGACCCUUUUGCAUAUACAUAUGUCACGUAGAGAUCAACUUAUUUUCUUCCAAAAAUGAAGGCCAAAUUGAUAAAUAGACUUAUCAGCUACUAUUGAUCAGGAAUAUCCAUCGAUACACCGUAGGUAUAUUCUCUAAUUAGUUGGAUUGGAUCGAAAUUAUUCGAGAACAUGGUUGGAUGGUCGUGAUCUAGGAGAUCAAAUUCUUCUGCUUCCUCCCGUACAUACAUGAAAAUUCCUUAAGAAUUUGUAACAAAUAAAGUCAAAGAAUAUUCCGUAUGAAACUAAAUAAUUUAGAUCAGUUCGGAUUAGUUGAAGUUAAUUAUAUACUGAUUUUCUAACUGUUAAUAUUUCAAAGGAGAACCAGGUAUGAUCAAAGAGGCUUAACACUCUAUACAUAACAUAAUUUAUGACGUAUUUGGUAUGAUGGUAUCUUUUGAUACAUUUAUUUUCUUGAUUUCAGAUAGACAUUCAUCUUUCAACUACCAUUGUAAUAACUUAUUAUUAGUGUCAACUUUUGUAAUAACAAUCUAAGAUGCCCAUCGACAUCUCAGGUUCAAGUCCAAAAUUUUACAAUAUAGGAACGGUGGAUUCUGAAAGGAAUCUUUUGGGGUCAAUAAGUAAAUAUUUAUCCCCCCCCCUAAUACAUAAGACGACCCUGUUGCAUAUACUGUAACUGUGUUAUGUGUCACGUAGAAAUCGACAUAUUUUCUUCCAAAAUGAAGGCCAAACUGAUAAAUAGACUUCAGCUACUAUUGAUCAGGAAUAUCCAUCAAUACACCGUAGGUAUAUUCUCUAAUUAUAUUUAUAUACUACUUAUUAGCAUAUUUUCUGUUGAAUUGUUUUAUAUGUACAUUGUCCUUUUAUAUUAUAGUAUUUAUAUACAUAUUUUAAUAAAACCUACACAGUUGAUUAUAUAUCCUUUUCUUCUUAUUAUAGCCUUUCACUACUAUUAUAAAAAGGAAAACAAUAACACAUACAAGACAUUCGAUAUCUAGCAUCGGCUAAUAAAAAAAAAAGAUAGGAACCCCAUUUUUUUAUAAUGAAAAUACAAUAGUUAAUGUCAAUUUGUGAGUCAUGUAAAGAUUCAUUAUAAAUAAACUUACGAAAUUUAUACUCAACACAAAGGGAUAUAUAAAAAUAUGAUCCGCCUUAUCCAAAUUGCUUUUAGAUUCAUUAAUAAUGUAUGUAGAACUGGCGUCAUAUAUCAAGUUGAGUAUCUAUAAUAAACUUCAAUAUUCUGAAUCAAAUGUUAAUAACUUAUGAAUGCAAUGAUAUAUAAUUAUAUAUAUAUAUAUAUAUAUAUAAAUAGGUAUUUGCACAAAUAUUUUAAAGUUUGACUUAUUCUUUUCCCAAGUUCCGUGGAGUGGUGGAGGCAUGAAUUUUGCCAUAGUUCCAGAUGUUCUUUUAGUUUUGCUAUCUCAAUAUUUAAAAGCAAUUCAACAGGAGUUGACUCUAUCAUACAAUAAGUUAUGGGUUUUCUAAACAGAUUUCCUUAUAUAUUCAAUAUUCAAUAUAUCCGGAGAAGAAAUCGAUUACGGCUAAAUUAAACCUAAUAAGAAUAUAAGGUUUAGUGAAUUAUCAAUUCGCAUGGAUAUCAGGAUGUUGAUGGACCAGGCCAGACUCUCUCCAAAAUCAACAUGGUGAUUUGAAAUAACUAAAACUUCUCUAGUCCAGUGAUUUUUGGUAAUAAUGUUAUUAGUCAUCUCAUAUCACCAUGUUGAUUUCAUUUUCUAGCUACCUAUCCAAUAUUACAAUUUCCAGAACAACCUAAAUAAAAAAUAAACAUUAUAUAGAAUCAAGUGAAUUCUCAGUUAUCAAUGAAAUUUUAAUACAUUGUUCCUACUUCCUACUAUAUUUAGUCCUCAGCUAAAGAAAAUCUGUUCCUUUUACUAAAACAUAUAUCUUCAUCAUCCUUAUAAAAAUUGGUAGAAUUCUAUUAAUAAAAUUCUGUUUUUGUUUAUUUCUAACUUGAACCCUUUGGAGUAAAUUAUUGGAGCUGAUAUACUUCUUGUGAAGUUUAAACUGCACUGCAUGUAUAUCUUAAUACCAGUUGAAAAUGUGUUAAUCCAUGUAAAUUGUAUUUUUUUUUUUUCAAAUCAUGUAAAUUGUAUAAAAACCAUCAAUAACUUGGUGAUUUUCUAUGAAAUAUUCCCUAUAGAAGAAUUACCAAUAAACUUCUAGACCUGAUUACUUGAUCCAAAACUCAGAGAAAUGAAUAUUUUGAAUCUCAGAGAAAAUUUAAUAUGAAUCCAAACAUCAACAAGCAAAAUCCUACUGAUCCAGAAGAAGAAAAAAAAUUACAGAAACAACAGAUUUUUUAAGAUGCUAAACAAAACUAUACAGAUUACAACAAAAGGUCUUCCCGUUAGAAUCAUCCCAUCCUUGAACCAUAUUUUAAGUACAAAUAUUCAUACAAUUAACUUAAUAAUGAUGCUUUAUAGCUUCAAGCUUCAAACCUCAAAUUCAUCUCUCUUUCUCUCAUCCAAGGCUCAAACGAUCCAAUGGCUUGAUGUUAGUCUGCCUACGCGGAGUUCCAAUCUCACAAGCGUUCACUCUCGCUGCAAAUCUAAGCGAGCAGAGAGACUCACCGGUAGAAGAAGAUUCCGGUGCAAUGUUCACAAACAUUAGCGUCUUAGAGUCACCGCCUAAGCAAGGCUGGAUGACAAAUGAAACAUAGUUUUAUCAUCAUACACAAUUUCAAGAAACAAAAUAUUUUGAUGGUGUUGUGUUUUGUAAAGUAGUUAGUACCUGGAGAAGAUAAGUGAGCUUUGAGUUUCGGUAUGGUACAUGAUCUUCUUUCUUUGCUAAGGCGAAAAUGACAUCGCCAAGAGACGACAAGCUCUUGUUGAUUGCCUAAAGAAAGAAGACAGUUUUUUAAGCUAAAAAUAUCAAGAAACACCAUAAUUUUGUUUUAUGUUUGUAAAGAACUUACUUGAGUUUCUUUAAGUCUAUCUCCGGUUGAUCCACUCUUCGAUAAACGCUCACUCCCUGCAAGAUCAAUCAGGUUCAAGAUCCCUUGUACUUGUUGCUCAGUGCUCUGUAAGAAGAUUAAACAGUUUGGUCUAUUAGACAAAACAGAAAUCAAGCAAUAGAACAAAAUAAGAAAACAAAACAGAUUUGGUUACUAAAAUACCUCGUUGACACCGGAAAUCCUUAGUGUGAAAACAAAAUGGCUUCUUGACGAUUGCUCAUUCAUCUGAGUCUUCCCUACCGAUCUAAAGAAGAAAGAAACCAACUUUAAAAACCGUGAAUCUUGAUAGCCAGUUUGUUAAUAACUCCUUUAGUUUGUAGUUAUUUGAAAUGGGUUUUACUUUUAGCUAUAUACCUGUUACGAGCAGCAUGAUCUAAGAGGAAUGAAACCUCUCGGGAGCUUUUAACAUCCAAAAUAGUAAGCUCAGCGACAUGUGUGUUCCCACUAGCAUCAUGUUUAAUAGCAUGUUUCUGUGGAGAGACGCCAUUGUCUGCUCUUACUGCUUCUUUAUUCGUUGACAAGAGAUCUCGGAUCGUUUCAUUGUAUAUUUCCAACAUAGAGACCUUUACAUAUGAAUCAAGACCAGGAUAAUCAUAUAUCUUAUUUUAAAACACUAUGAUGUAUCUUACUUGGUGGAAGUUAAAGACAAGAUUAAUAAAACAGACCUGCAACUCGUAUUUCCAACCCUGAGAUCGAAGAGACUGUCUCGUUUCAAAUAUUUGUUCCAAACAUCGCGGGAUCAGUCCUUUUUCUUCGGGAUUUCCUGGUCUACCCAUCAUUGUGUAAGUUUUACCUGAACCCGUUUGUCCAUAUGCAAAAAUGCACACCUACAAUAUGGAUUAUAACACCUUUAAUUAGUCCAACAAACAGUGAAAUACACAUAAUCCUAUUUGCCAUUUGCAGAUUUUAGUUACCUUGUAACCAUCGAGAGCACUCUGAACAAGUUGAGAAAUCUCUAUGAAAACGUCUUCUUGUGAUGCAUUUGGCAGAAAAACCUUGUCAAAUGUGAAAGAAUGCUUUUGCGCUGUUCAUAGCAAAAACACAUCAAAUGUAAAAAACUGUGUAAUGUCCCGCAAGAACCACGUUUCUGCAGAAGUUUUUAGUUUCAUACCGUUUUGCAUCAAGUCAAUACCGCGACCAAGUAGUUCUAAAGAUGAUGGGUAAGAAAUGGUUUUUCCCUCAUCACCAUUAUUCUCUCCCGGCAAUAGAGGUCUAACUCUACAGAACACACGUAUGUUGCCUUUCAAUUCCUGCAACAUGAGAGUAAACAAGGAUCAGGCAAGCUAUUAGACAAAGGGGAAGGAAACCAAGUGUGGCAGAGGUUAGGUAAGAGAAUCAUACAAGAAUAGUAUUGUGCAACUUCUUCCGUAGUUUUUCUCCUUCAACGAGUUUAAGCUCUGCUUCUUCUACGCGAGUUUUCAGGUCGAUAAUGGUUUGCUUCUGUUCUUCAAACUCAUUCAUUUUCUCAAAGGUAGUUAGAUCAGACAUCUAAACCAUAAACAAUCAAGAAUGGUAUCAAAAACUUAAGAACUUGUAAAAUCUGAUAAUAGUCAUUUGUUAAAUGUGAAACUCGAGAAUGUGAUGAAACCUGCAGUCUCCUAUCAGAAGAUACUAGCCGAUCUUGCAACUCUCGUAUCUGAGUAUCCUGGGACGAACAUGUAGCCUGGACCAAAACAUUUACAUCAUCCUGAGAACAAAAAUUAAUCUGCGGAGAAUUGUUUUGCAAGAAGUUAUAAAUGGAUAGGAAACCUCAAGCUCGAUUAUGGUGUCUUUGAAGUCAUUAUACUUGGUUGCCUCGGUUUGUAAGGUUUUUAACUCCGUUAAAUGGUGAUCACGGUCAUCUUUAGCCUGCUGAAGCUCGACCUUGAGACUGGCGAUUUCGUUUACCAAUUCGGCUUUCUGCUUCAUAAUAUCAUCUUGAGAGGCCUAGCAAUAAAACAAGACACCUAAUCACAUUUCUGACAUAAACUACAAACACUUACUGACAUUGAUCAAAUUAAACAGUCAAUCACCUUAGAAGCAGCAAGCUGAUCCUGCAAAGCUGAAAACUGACCCUUCAAGUUGCCAAUAUUUUCGACAAUGGCAGUCCGUUCUUUCUCGCCGCGUUUUAUAGUUUCGUGAGCUUCAUCAAGAUCACCUUGUAGCUUGCUGUUAUACAGCUGCAGGCUUGAGUUAUACUCUUGCAACAGUUUGUACAUGUCAUUCACCGAUUGUAUCUGAACAAACCCCAAAAAAAUACAGUCAACAUUAGUCAAAAUUAGGUGACAGCAAUUUAAAAUUUUAGAUCCUUUUGGAGUUUCCUCACCCUCUGAUUAGCCGUUUGAAGUUCUCCUUGUGCUUUUCCUAACUCUUCUGUGAGACCAGCUUGUGCCUUUUCAACAGCAAGUCUUGCUUCUUUCUCUUGUCCAAGAGAAUCAUUUGCGGCCUAAUGAGAACAUAUCAAGAGUUAAAACCAACAAAUAUGUACAAUUACACGCAAGCUUUUUUAAGUAGGAACUAGCAGCUUCUUACCAACUUCUCCGUUUGUUCCUUGGCAAGUUGAAUUUGAACAGAUUCAAAAUUCUUCCUCAGCUCCUCAAUUAUCAUAUUCAGCUCCUCUUCCUUGUUUUUCAAACUAACCUCUGUCAUCCAAAAUGCAAUCAUAUAAAGUUUAAAUCCAAAAACUCUUAACGCAAUAAUUUCAAAACUAAACUCUAAUUUGGAAACACACCCAUAUCAGCACAAUGCUUCUCAUUCAAUUCCAAAGCGUUCUUCAACUUCUCUUGCUCAAAAGCGUAAUCCAACUCAAGUUCUUGAAACCAUCUAAUGCAAAGUCUAAGUCUUUUUAUAUAAUCCAUCAUAUUCUCGCAUCUUUCCUGCAAAAUCAACCACCAAGAAGAACAUUCAAAAAUUCAAGCUAACCAACUCAGACCUAAAAGAGAUUCGGCCAAAAGGGUCAAAACACAUAAACAAAAAAGUCUUUAAUGCUUAUCAAACAAACAAAACUAUUUUGGUCCCACAAAUCAAAUCUUCUUCAAAACCAACAGAUCCAACGAGAAAAGCCAGUAAGGAAACUGAAAUUUAAGCCUAGAGAUUCUACCACAAAAGAUCAACACUUAAAACAACGUGUUGAAUGCUAUUGCCAAAAAAAAGGUCCCACAAAUUGUCUUAUAACAAAUCAAAUCUUGUUUCAAAAAACCAACGGAUCCAACGAGAAAAGCCAGUAAAACUACUUAAAAUUCAAAACUUCUUUACUCAAGAUUUAACCACUAAACUCUCUAUUAACAAGAACCCUAAUUGAUAAGCUUAUUCAUGACCACAACAUAAUCAAAUUCAAACAUCAGUCAUAAUAGCAAACAUAUAAUCUACAUUAGAUUCAUUUUUUACCCUCAUCAAAAAUUACAAUACACAAGAAGAAUAUGAGAUUCUGGUAAAAGAAAAAUAAAUGAUAAAUUUAAUGAAACCUUGUAGUUGAACUUGCUCUUGUACUUGAUUCGCUCAUUAAGAAGAGCUUCAACGUCUUCUCUUGUGAACUCAACUGGACCAUAUUCAGAUCCCGCCGUGCUCGCCGGAGCACUGUUCGAAGUCAGAUCUUUUGACCCAUUAGCCACCGGAAAAGCUGACCGGAUUCUUCCAUUGUUUGCCAUCGCCCCCACCAUAACAAGGAAAAAAAUUAUCUCUUCUUGUUACCUAAUUACUUCAAAUUUCUCUCUUCUCUGCCAAUCAAAGCAUAAACCUGCAAAAAAGGUUUGUUUUUUUAUAUCUUAUUAGAGAUCUUUAGAAAAAGAAAAAUGAUAAAUUUGGGUAAAGGAGUAAAAUGGGGAAAAAAAAGGAAGGAAACCCGUGAAGGUGAAGAUUUAAAUUAGAAACAAAAACAUUGAUUUGAACGAAAAACACACAACAUAUAUCAGAACCUAAAGAUUGAAACUUUAAGAGAGAAGAUUAAAAAGAGUAAAGAAACCCACUGAUCUUAAAAGAGAAGAAUGAAUGUGGAUUUCAGAGAAAAAACAUGCCCAGAUUUGUGAAAACUAUUGAGAAUGAAGAACACGAGAAAAGAUAAAAGGAGGACCUUUGGCAUUUAAGAGGGCUUGUAUCCUUUGUGUACUAAAAGAUUUGGGUAUAGAAAUGGAGGCACGUUUCAGUUUUGAUGUUCCUCUCGUCUCUUGCUGCUGGCUACUUCUUUCUAUAUUUGUUGUUUGAAUGUUCAGAGAGAGAGAGAAAGAGAUGAACGUGGGGCCGUUGAUUGGAUCUGAAGUCACCGAGGAAGUGCAAUCACAGCCGUUGCUUUACUAAACAGCAAAAUAAAUUAGAGAAUAAAAAUGUGAGGAGUCUUUUAGGACCAGGGGCAGUGAGGGUAAGGUCAGUGGACUUAAUUAUGACUUUAAUGAUUUAAUCCAACCCCUAAAUAAUUACAAGUUAAUUCUGAAUUCUAAAAAACAAUACAAAUCGAAUGCAAGGAGAAGUGGAGAAAAAAUGAACUGCCGAGGAUUUCUUUUCUCAGCUAAAAUUUAGUAUACAAAAUUGUUUAAAUGUUUUGUAUGAAUAAUUACAAGUUAAUCCUGAAUACUAAAAUAAACAACAUAAAUCGAAUGCAAGGAGAAAAAAAUGAAUUACCGAGGAUUUGUUUUCUCAGCUAAAAAUUAGUAUACAAAAUUGUUUAAAUGUUUUGUAUGAAUAAUUACAAGUUAAUCCUGAAUACUUACAAGUUAAUUCUGAAUACUAAAAUAAACAACAUAAAUCAAAUGCAAGGAGAAGGGGAGGGAAAAAAAAAUGAAUACCGAGGAUUUCUUUUCUCAGCUAAAAAUUAGUAUACAAAAUUGUUUAAAUGUUUUGUAUGAAUAAUUACAAGUUAAUCCUGAAUACUAAAAAAAACAACAUAAAUCGAAUGCAAGGAGAAGUGGAGAAAAAAAAAUGAAUUACAAACAUGUUUUUAGAUGGAAUCUUUUUGUUUGCUUCUAACCAACGACGUAAAAUAUCUUACCAUAGACUUGUAUUGGUAAUCUCACAGAUUUAUAAUUGGAAAUUGAAUAAACUAAUACUGAUUAUUAAAAAAAAAGCUAACAAUAACGUGUCGGUAAAAUGCGAUACGUCAGCAUUUUUUAUCAAGAGAUUCCUUUCAGAAAAAAGUGGAUAUUUGAUCUUACCGAAAUUACCCUUAGAAUCGCUCCAAAUAUUGCUCAUAAAAGUCACGUUUCUGGCUUGAAAAGGUAUGGGCUAAAAUUGUCCGAACGAAAAAUUGUCUUCUGUCGUGUAAUUCUUAGAUUCUGUCUCGUACCCUGACGAGAUGUCAAAUUUCAUGUGAAAGUCUAAUGGUCUGAGCAGCGAGCUCAAUUUGGCAGUUGAAAUGUCGUCGUUGAUGUAAAUGGACGUAAUUAAAAUAUCAUGCAUUGAAUUAAAAAAGACUUGUGAGAUACAUUUUUUCGGAUAACUGAUAUUAAUAUAACUUUGGGGUUCAAAAAGGUAAGUAUCACCUUAAAUGGUCGCAAUUCAAAACCAAAAAAAUGUCACAAAAAAUUUAGGUUAGUGAAUGGUGACAUAUAGACAAGUAUGCUGACAAAAAAGAAGAGGCAUUUAGUGCAUUCGAGACGCACUAAUCAUUUCUCAACUUUAUACACUCUAAUAAUUAUAUUCCUAAAUCGGAUCAUGGAAUACACAAAAAAAAAUAAAAAUUAUUAGUCUGUUUAAUUUCAUAGUGUUGCAAACUUUUUGAUUCACCUUUUAUUUUCUUAAACUAUUAUGUAAAUAAAUUUCUGACUAUUGAGAUAAUGAGAUGUGUUUUGAACUUGGUGCAUAUUUCCAGAUUUAAAAAUAUAUUAAUCUGGAUAAAGCACAUACUACUUUAUGCAAAGGUGAUUAAUGGGGUGAUGCAAGGAUCAUGCCAAAUCUGAUAUAGUCAAACUAUAUCAUAUGAAUUAGAUUUAUACUUUAACAAAAAAAUAAUGAAUUAGAUUUAUGUAUUAUUAUAAAAUGUAUUAGACUAUGGGUUUUGUAAAAAUCGUGGCGUCGAAUAUCAUGUUGAACAAGUCUAGAACUCCGACUUCGCAAACUGGUAUAAUAUAUGAUAUAAAAUGCAUUUCAUAGUUAUGAUUUCUAUGAUUUGUGGUCUGCAUGUAGCUUAUAAUUGAAAUUUUAUUGUUAGCAGUAGUGGUCUCCACUGGUUUUUUUCGAUUGAUUAAGAAAAUACAGCUAAAUUUUUAUAAGACAAAUUAUUUGAACUCCGAAACCUAUUUUUGAUCGUUGCCUUCAAACAACUUUGUUUUCUAAAGCGGAUGUGUUGAUAUUAGACGCGGACGUUAAAACUAUUGAAAAUUUAAUAUAGUUGUGACUGAAAGCUAUGUAAACAGAUUGUUUAUAAGAAUUAAAAUAUUUUUUUGUACCGAAGGAAAUUAAAAAUUAAAUCCCACGUCGUAAACCUGUUUUUAUUUAAUCUCAUGACCAACAAACCGUAUAUUUAAUCUAUGUUCUCCUUAGUAAGGAAUAUGGUUCAUAUAAUUUUAGUACUUCAAUUGCGUCAAAUGGGUGCCAAGUAUUUUUUUCUCCUUUUUUUCGUUGCAACUUUAUCGAAACGUGAAUUAGUUCAUCGGAGUCUUCAGCGUUAAGCCAUGAUGGUUUACUCCCACUUAUCUAACUGGAUCAAAUUAAUUUGGAAUUCUAUACAAUAUUUUCGGAUUAAUAUUAUAUUACAGAAUCUAAAAUCAACAUGUUUUUAACCCCCCAAAAAACAACUAAGAUUAUAGCAUCAGAUUGUAAUUAACGAUCUACUAUUUGCAACCGACUAAUUUUACAAUUUAUAAACAGUGUGACCCAUUAUACAAUAGCGUACAAAUAAUUUUUUAACCGUUCUCCAUAAAAAAUAUAUAUAUAACGUACAAGAAGUCUCAAAAAUCUAAAAUCCAUCGUCUGAAAUUUCUUACAUAAUUUCGUAAAAAUUAAAUUCGAAAUACAGUAUUAUAUAGUCUUAACAUAUUGUCAGAAAGAUGAUUUCUUUCGUAUGAAAUUGUUAAGGAAAUGCACCAAACACUUCACAUGAAGAAAAGGUUGUUGCCAAAUCUAUUUUCAAUUUAUGGUCAAGAGUUCGAAAGUUUCACCUAAAGUCAUUUUCUCACAUCAAACGUAGACCUACUUCCUCGGUUAAAAGAAUAGUUUAAUACUGUUCUGUUAUAUACUUAACUUGUUCCACUAACACUAUGAAAACCAUUAAAGAAGGACAAUUUAGCAAACUAGUUUUUUUUGUUUAUCAUUUUCCAUUCGAGCCAUUUUAAAAUCGAGGAAAGAGUUUUGAGAUCUCCAAAAACUUAAAUCUUGCAUUGUAUGGAAUUUUCAAUCUCAUUCUUUUGAAUAUGAAGAAAUUAAAAUGUAAAGUAAUUAUCAUCUAAACCUAUUUUUAGAACACCAAUGGAUAUAUUAUAUAUAUGUCAUCCUUUUUCUUUUUAAUUUAUGUAAAAUCAAAUAAGUGGUCCACUUUGGAGUUUUUUCUGUACCUCCACACAAUAAUAAUUACUCUUACUUCACCUAAUCGGUAAAACCGACCUCACGCAUAAAAUUACUGAUGUUAGAGGAAAAUGCUAACCAAGUGAAUAGUAUGGAAAGAAUGUUCAGAUCAGGGAUGGAUUAAGAAUAGUUAUUGAUAUGAGACAGUAAUCUCUUUGGAUUUUGUUUUAUAUGUUCAACCUAGAAUGAAAAAUGCCGAUGAAUAUUUGAAUGGAGUCACAUCUUUGUGGAAACAAAGGAUUCAGUACAUGAUGGGUAUUACUUCUAUUGGCGAUGGCAAAGUAACGUCUAGCUACUACAAAUAAUAUUUCAAGAAAAUUUUCACUAUUUAAAGUGAGAAGUUAGAAUCCAAUGAUAAUACAUUAAUGUUAUCCAACUGAAGAAAAAUGUAGGUUUUGACAUAUGUAGUCCAUAUUUGCGUCGGUUACACUGGUGAUGAUUUUUCUACCUAUUGAAUGGAUCCUAACUUCUAAGCAUAAACUAGGUGUUUGAUUCUAAAGCCCAUAUAUAAGGAAAUAUAAUUCAAGCCUAUUUACAUUUCGCAUGUAUUGGGUUUUAUUAGAUUCAAUAUUUCAAUGUCUCAAACGCUAGCAAAAAAUUAACGACAUAUGUAUAAUAUUCUUUGAACAUUUUCCACCCGUUCCAAGAAACAUGGUGUUGUUGAAAGUAAUCAGGAAUUAGUAUUAGACAAAGAUCGAAAUGCUACCCAAUGAAUCGGAAAAUUGAGUUCUUGUAGUGUUAUUAUAGUUUAAUAGUGUUUGAGACUUUAUGGGGAGCUCGUCGAAAUAGCAUAUAAGUUUGGGCUAAAUAUUACUGGUUAAAGUCUUGCCCUUGAUGCGUUUUAGACUAGGCUCAGGCUGCGCUUAUAUAUUGGGGCUAAAUACCCUAUUCACAUGUCAUUUAACUAAUACCCCGAAACCAUAUGCAUCUAGUGCAAUUUCCCCUUAUAUAUAAGAAAAAAUAAAACUCCAUAAAGUGUGUAGUUCUAGUAAAUCUAUAAUCUAUAUUACUAUAUAGUCUAAGUAUACGAUUUUCCGAUCAAAUAUAAUAAACAUGCUUGUACGCAUGUAUGUAUAUAAAUGUAUCAUUCAUAAUCUGUGUGUCCACCACAGAAAAUCAUUACAAAUCAUUCUAUAGUUAAGAAGGAAAAACCUAAACUUAAUGAUACUCGUAAGGGGCAAGGCCACAUCAGAUUAAAACUUGUUCUUGGAAUUAAUCUUGGGGAUUUUGAUCUCUAAGAAAGAGUGGUCGUCUUUGUUGGAGAGAAAAGCUUCGGAAGUUUUGGGAUCGGCGUCGCCCGGAAGCUCGACACGGCGGACAUAGCCAUAUUCCCACCACCGGCCGCUUCUCCAGUCGCUGUUGGCCACUGUUUUCUUGUUGCUGUUCCAUUUGCCACUAAUCUCCAUCACUUUUCCGGCCACGUCCACGUAUACCUGCACAUUAUUUUUUCCCACCACUAGCCAAGUACCAAAAGUUUAAUCAGUUUUUUUCUUGAACCUUCAAGAAAAAGAUUACAUCACUUAUAUUUUCCAAAUCAUUUUAGUCUUUAUAGAUUAAAUGAGUUUUUGGCUCCUUGUUACGUAGUACUUUAACCAAUUCCUUUUUUUUUCGUUUUUUAAUGGAUCUUUUAAAAACUAUUUUCACUUUUUAGUGUUUUUAUCAAAAUUGUCUAAAUCCCAUAACAUUAAACCACAAACUCUACAAUAAUAGUUUUCCAAUGGAUCCAUCAUAAGGUAUUUAUAACAUUUCUCAUUUCCUUGACGCAUACGUAAAAUUUUCAAAUAGAAGUUUUUGGUUCACAUUAAUACGGUUUUAUUUGUUGUAAUAGAGAAUUAGUUAAAGCAAAGCCAAAAAAGGUAUGUAUCCAUUUGGCAUAUUUGAAUCAAGCAUAUCUUAUUUUAUAGCCUAAAUAUUAAUUCGGAAUGAGAUCAUUUCUUCUUGGUUCGGAUCAAUCUAUCGGACUACAUUACUUUAUCAACGACGUAAUAAAACAUUAUUCAUAUUUCUCACUUGCUCAAGCUAAAACGAAAGAAUAUUUGUUUUUUGAUAAAAAACUACUACUAAAGAAUAUAAAUAGGAGAAUUGUGGCAUAAGAAAGACGUAACGCACCGGGGAGAUCUGAUUUAAGGACAUAAGCUUGAUCGGUUUGAGACCAAUCGACUCUACACUGUCCUAAGCUCCUGAGGCCGUCCAACAAAACCUCCGACUCAAACUCCCAUAAGGGAAACGCAUCCGACGGAUCAAAGUACUUCCCGAACAAGAAGGGGCUGAAAAGAGAUCCCUCGCCGAACACAGCCUUCUCCGAGCCUCCUCCGCCGCUCAAGAACCUCCGGAAAACUUCUUCGCCGAGCGGUACGCUCCAUUUUCCCGGCGUCUUGUCGUCGGUGUGGAUCUCUAGUUUAAGACUUCCACUACUACUCGUCAUGAGAGAAAUAGAGAGAGAGAGAUUGAGACGAAUAAUAGAAAAAGGAAAGUGUGUGUGUGUGAGAGAGAGUUUUGGAAUCAAGGUUUUGUUCUUAUAGUAUGAGGUUUGAUAUAGCUGAUAAAAUAGGAUAUAAAAACCUUAGUAUAUGACAAAAAAAAAAGAAAACUUACGAAUAUUUUUAUAAUAUGUUCGCAGUAAAACUAACUUCUCCAUCUAAACUCAAAAGUAUUUACAGAUGAAAGCUUAAAAUUCCACCACAGAAACUAGGUCAGACUUUUAAAACUAACCAAAAAUAUGACGUCCACGAAAGAAAUUAAUGUUUAGAUAAUCUAUAAACAUGUCCUGACUAAUCAAAAGGUUUGAUAUCAGUCAGGACAUCACACAUGAAAAUCAGAUUGACAUGAUAGGUCCAAAUUAAGUCAGAUUAACGAAGAAAAUUAUAUGAAGAUUAUGGAAAUAUAUUGGGUGCUCAAAAUAAUUUGAUGAUAAGAGAAAAAGUUGGGAAAUAUUCUUCUUUCUUUGUGACAAUACUUUAGCGUGGCUAAAGUAAAGAAACGAAUAUGUUCUCUUGACGUAGAAAUUGCUCGAAGGGUCACAAAGAAAUGUAUCUUUAUUUGCUUUGAGCCAUACCAUUUUGAUUCUUCAUCUUAUUCUAAAAAUUGAUAUUUUAUAAAAGUAUAUACAUGUUGUUUUCCUUGUAUAGCAUAUUUAUUCAACUACUAUACCAAAUUAUUUUAGAAGAAGAAAAAACGUUAUAAUUUUAUAAAGCAACAGAUAGUAUAAUAGUUGAACAUUCGUCUUUCCAACUCAUGUUAGGAUUCAAAUUUUCUUGCUGCAAUCCCAACAGCUGUUUGUUGGUCAAUGUCAACACCUGAAAUACAAGAUUAGUUUGUAUUUUCCUCACUACAUUUAUAAAAACAGAAAAAAAUGUAUAUAGUUUAUAGAAUAUUCUAGCUUUGGUCUUUUUAUCAAAAUGUUCUCACCAAAAAAUACUAAUUAGAGAGUGACUGACCUUCGAGGAAGUCGAGGCGCCAAAAGAAAAAAUGAUGGGAAAGGGCGACGAGGUAAAAAGAAGAAAAAAAAAAAGCUUCUUCUUUUUUACCCAAUACAACACUUUAUAAAAGUAUUGGGAUCUUAAUUGUCAACAAAUGUAUUACAUUUACACAUAGCUAUCGAUCACUAUAUCUGAUUUGUAAUCUUAACUUAUACUACAAGAAAGAUCGGGUUUUACAUCAGUAGAUAUCGACAAAAAAGAGCAUUUACGUCGAAUUAACGACGAAAAAAAAAUCGUCGUAAAAUAGAAAUCGUCGUAAAAUUACCAACCCAGGAAAAUCGUCAUAAUAUCGUUGAAAACUAUUCGUCGUAAACGCGACGUAAAUUUCCCAACGAAAGUACAAUGAAAUAAGUCCAUCAUAACAACGAAAUUACAUCGAUUUAACAACGAUUAGGAGACGAACAAUUUCAAUUAAGGGAAACUAAUUUUUUAAUUGUCGAUGUUAAUUCGUCGUAAAGUUUCGAUGUAAAUCCGACGUAAACAUAUUCGACGUAAAUCCAUCGUUAAAUAUUCGACGUUAGAUCGACAUAAAUUUACGGCGUAAGUCGAUUUAUAAAUUAAUUAUUUAAUUCGAUUUUAAUUUAAUUAAUAAAUUUUUAAAAUAAUCAAACAAUUAAAAAUAGAAAAAAACAAUUUAAAUUGAAAUUUAAAUUCGAAAAUAAUUUAUAAAUAAAAGAAAAAAUUUAAUACAAAUUGUUUUUUACAAAAAAUCUAAUCUACAAUGUGAUUUCGUAAUCGUCGAGGUUGAGAUCGACGUCACGAGGAGGCUCUCCGUCUUGGCUGUCCGUCGCUGCUGGACCGUCGUUUCCCGUCUGCACUACCGGAGCCGAAGACUGACCCUGCGUCUGCUGGUCCGAUGGUCCAGUACCGGAAGUACCACCGGUCUCAAAGACCCCUCGUGCUCGCUGUUGCCUCGCUCGGAUUGCGGUGGCGACCUGUGGAACCGCUUCCGCAACGAUGUCGAAGAGACCGUGCAUCUCGGUGAGCUCCUGCUUCUGGGCCACUUGCUCAUGCCUGAGAGUGGUGAUCUCAGCAUUGGCCGUAGCAAGCUCCUGGCGAAGAUGACUCGGAUCCUCCUGCGUGCGAAAUCCGGAAGCCGAGGCGGCAGGACUGUCUCUAAUAGAGCCCAUCCCUAAGGUUCGGCCCUUCUUCUUCGGAGCAACCUACAAAUGGAAAAUAAAAACGUUAAUUAUUUAUUAAGUAAUAAAUAUAAUAAAUUUUAAAAAAAUUGAAAUAGAUCAUACCUCCUCGAAAAUCUGGUCUUGCUCAGCGACGGUCAACGGUACUUGGAUAGUAUCGUCAGGUGUGGUAUGGGUCUCCCGCUCGGCGAUCCGCUGCAUAGCGGCAUUGUAGAUCUCUUUUGACCGAGCGUCGACAAAGCUCCCGUCCCUCUUCCGGUGAGUGGUCUCGAAGAGCUUCGUCAUUGGAGGUAGUUCUCCUCCGUUCUCCUCGGCCUACCAAUUAAUAAACAUUAAUCAAAAAUAUUUAAUAAAUUAUAGCAAUAAUUAAAAGUGAAAUAAUAAUGAAAUAAUUUAUAUUUAAUUACUUACCAUCAUGAGACGUCUUCCCGCAAAAGAUAUUUGGCCAGAAGUGUGCAGAGUCACUAACUUCUGACCGUUAGGACCGACCCGGUUUCUAACGGCCGAACACUUAGCCGCAGUGGUUUGGACAUGCGGGUCCAGCCAAUACGCCUUCAACCCGUUCCAACAGAAAGUGGACAUGGAGCUCGGCUUUGCGUCGUCUCCAUCGGUCUCCCACUUCCGCUUCCAAUCGGAAACGGUGUUGACUAGGCGUUUCUGCGCCUUCAGCCGGAAAGCUUCGCGGACCGUCUCGUUGAUCCCGAUGUCCCAGUUCCACCGUUGCUGCAAAAGAAAACAAAAAAUUAUAUAAACAAUAUAAAAGUAAGAUUAAUUAAAUUUAAAAUAAUUUAAAAUGAUAUAAAUAAGAUUUAAAAAACAUUACCGCGAAGCACUUGUACCAGGUGUCGAACGUCUCUUGCGACACCUUGCUCCAGUUGUAGUGCGGCUCAACGAAAUGACUCUUAAUUGUGUCGGAAACGCUCCGACCGACACAAUUAUCCAAGUCAAAUCUAUGAAACCAAAAAAAAACAUUACAUUAAUAUUUAAGAAAAUUAAAGCAUUAAUUUAAAAUAAUAUAAAAAACAAAAAAUUUUACUUACCAAUAAGAGCCUGGUUCCGCUUUUCCGGGAACCAGACGUCGUAAAGCCCCCCGUCCCGGUAGGGCUAGUAAGUCCUAUUGGGCAUACGGAUGAGGAGGGUGGGCCACCGGUUCGGGAGCCGGCGGUGGAGGUGGUGGUGGAGGUGGUGGUGGAGGCGGUGGUGGAGACUGCUCCGCUACGGUAUUCAGAACCUGGGAGGCUCCAGAAGAUGAAGGGACAUCGGUCCCGGUGUUUCCCGAGGCAGACACCCAGGAAGAGUGUCCGUCUGCCAUAAAGUUUAUGUAGUGCGUCCUCCGUCGAGUCAUCGUCUGCAAAACCGGAAAAUUUUUAUUUUUGAAAUUACAAAUUAAUUUUAAAUUAUGAUCCUAAAUCUAACAAACACCCUAAAUCCUUAAUCUAACAAAUUCCGAUCCUAAAUCUAACAAAUUCCGAGCCUAAACUAAUUUUCGACCUAAACCAUUUGUAUUUCUAAACUAAUUAAAAAUAAAAAUUAGAUUUUAAGUAAAAAAAAAAAUUACCUGAUUUUUUGGGUUUGCAGGGAAGCAACGAAGUGAGGAGGAAGCAGGGAGAGGAAGAAGUUGAAUGAGCGACGAAAUGAGGAAGGGGUGCUUCCAUAUAUAUAGAAUUUUUAUUCGUCGUAAAUCCGACGUAAACAUUACGACGAAUUUACGACGAAUUUACGACGAAAUCGUCGUAAAUCCGUCGUAAAGCUGCAACCGUACAACAAAGCGAAUAAGACACACACACGUGGCUGUAUCUGGACUUUGCGACGAAUUUACGACGAUCAGGGUUAUUCGUCGUAAAAUCAUCGUAAAAUUACGACGAAUUUACGACAAAUCCUUAUAAAUCAUAAAAAUUAUAACGGUUAUGUAUUUACAUAUCGUCGUAAAAUCGUCGUAAUAUUACGACGAUUUUACGAUGGUAUGUACAAAAAUGAUGAAUUACAAAAAUUGAAACACCCAUAAGCACAUACAAGCAUGCCUAUACAUGCUAAAUGUGGUCUGUAUAAGUUUCUAGCAUGUUUACAUAACAUAAUAAAGAAUUUAGUUUGAUCUAAGAUAAAUUCUUACAUCUUCUCUAAAUGUAUAUAACACCUUAAGAUUACUUGAUAAACACAUAUAUGUCAAAUUUUGAAUUUUUUUUUUUUGUUUAGAAAGUUGUUUUACCUUAUGAGAUGGUAAGCCAUAUCAUUAUCUUCAUCUAAAUCCCCCCCGAACCCAAGAAAAGAUUGAUUAUAAGAUUUAGGGGUUACAUUUCGUCGUAAACUCGAUGGUAUUUUACGACGAAUUUACGACGAAUGGGUGUGAUUCGUCGUAAAUUCGUCGUAACAUAAACCACAUAUCUACAAGUUCUUUAAUCUUAUACUACAAAACCUUAUAUAAUACAUUAGUUUACUCAGGAAAAUGCACCCAAAAACCAUUCUGUGAGUUGGGAAAGCUAAACCCUAUAGGGUUUAGGGUUUACAUUUUACGACGAAUUUACGACGAUUUAUAAAUAAUCGUCGUAAAUUCGUCGUAAUAGUCCACAUAUGUCCAAGUCAACACUUAAGCAAAUUUUCUUUUCAUUAAUUGUUUUUCAUUUUUUAAACAUUUAAAUUUAAACAAAUUUAUCAAAUUUGACAAAUGUUACAUUUAAACGUUCAAAGCAUGCAAUUAUAUAAAUGCCAACAUCAUACUUAGUUAGUCUUCAACAUUUUCCUCGUUCUCCUCAUCAUCAUCGUCAUCAUCACUGCUUGUUUGAAAUUCGUCAGCACCUUCUUCUGUUUCGUCCCCAUGUAGAUCUUCAACUUCUCGAUUACGUGGAUCAAUUAAAAGAACAUUUUCUUCAACAUCAGGUUCUAUAAUGUCGACACAAUCAUCUUGUUGCAUUGGCGGGAGAUCUACACCAUCAAUUAUACCCCUUGGAGCAACUUUGACAACCGCCAGCCAUGAAAUUCCCGUACUCCAAACUCGAGGAUAUGGAACAAAGGUGACUUGUUCUGCUUGAGAUGCAAGUAUAAAAGGCUCGAACUUAUUGUAUCGCCGAGAUGCGUUUACAUCUACCACUCCGAAUUUGUUAAUAGGCACUCCACGACCUACCGUAGGAUCAAACCAAUCACAUUUGAAAAGAACAGUUUUCAUUCUUACUAAUCUGGGGUAUUCCACUUCAAUUAUCUCUUUGAUGAUCCCAUAAAAUUCUACUUCACCUCGUACACAAACUCCAUAGUUUGUAGUUGCCCGUUGAGUGCCAUGACUAUAAGUAUGAAAAACAUAGCCACGUGUAAAAUACAUAGCUGCAGUAGUUAUCUUCGAAAUAGGACCUAGGAGCAACUCAUGAAACCAUACUGCAUAUGUCAUGUCAUCAUGCUCGACUUGACUUUUUAACCACAAUGCAUAAUGUUGGUCUUUUCGCUUGUUAAUUUCAUCUUCUGAAACACCGUCAAUGCAUUCUCGGACUUGACUGACGAAAGUGCUGAAAUUUGAAAACAUUGUUAAGGACAUGAUAACCUCCCAUGCGUUGUCCAACCUGAUAGCAUUCCGUAUGCCGAGAAAUCGCUUAUUGUCCACAUAAGCACCGCUCGCAUCGUAAAAUUUUUACCACUUGAACAGUCAUAUGUUCGUACUCCAACAUGCCACAACUGGUUUAACUCAUGUAUGAGUGGUUGCAAAAACACAUCAAGGGCCCGCUUCGGGUGAUUUGGACCAGGGACUAAUAUACUUAGAAACAAAAACUCUCUUUGCAUGCACAUAUCUGGAGGAAGGUUAUAUGGUGUAAGAAUCACAGGCCAUAAUGAAUAUUGCCUACCAGACAUACCAAAUGGACUAAACCCGUCAGUGCAAAGACCAAGAUAAACAUUUCGCUUAGACCUAGCAAAGUAUGGAUGUACGGUGUUAAAAUGUUUCCAAGAUUUCCUGUCAGACGGGUGAGUCAUUUUGCCAUCUAUUUGUGAAUGUUCUGCAUGCCAUCUCAUCGACGCAGCUGUCCGUUCAGAUUGAUAUAAUCUUUUUAACCUAUCAGUGAUAGGAAGAUACCACAUUCGUUGGUAAGGAAUCUUCUUACGCCCACCAAUUUGCGGUCUAUAUCUUGGCUUUUGGCAGAAACGACAUUCUUCAAGCUUCUCAUCAUCUCUCCAAAAAAGCAUACAAUUAUCAACACAAACAUCAAUCAUCUCAGAAGGCAAUCCAAGACUAAAAACCAGCUUCUGAAUUUCAUAAUACGUUUCAGCAGCCAAAUUAUCAUCUGGAAAAUACUCUUUAAUAAGAUCUGCCCAAUCGUUCAUGCAAACUUCAGAUAGAUUAUGAUCAGUUUUUAUUGUCAUCAUCCGAGCUGCCAAUGAUAAUUUUGAUAAACCUUCCCUACAUCACUCGUACAGAGGCUGUUUUGCUGCGUUUAACAUAUAUAAAAGCGUUUCGCAUCUGCAUUGGGCUCCUCAACAGUAUCAGCAUGUGUUUCAUGAAAUGCAUCAGUAACCAUUUCAUGCAUCCUAUCAUGAUCUUCACCCUGAACUUGACUACUUUGAUAAUCAUUGGACGCUUCAAAAUCCACAUGUUCUUGAUGAUUACUACUACUCCGUGCAGCCAUCUGACCACUACUUUGACCAUAUCCCUCUCCAUGCUGAUACCAAAUAAAGUAUUGGGGCAUGAACUCUCUAUUCAAUAAAUGCUGCCAGACAGUGUCAAUAGGAAUAUGUUUCCUAUUUUUGCAUUUCACACAAGGACAAUACAUUUUGCCGCUUUCAAUUACAGUUUGCAUAAGGCCGACUUGGUACAUGAAUAUUUCCAAUCCGUUUUUGAAGUCUUCAGUCAACGACCCAUCACCAUUUUUGGGCGUAUACAUCCACUUUCGUAGAUCGUAUAUAGAUAUUUCAAAAACAAAUAUUUGACUUUUUGUUUUUGAAAUUUGAUAUAAAUUUCAACUACUAAAAAUUUUACUUAAACAUUCAAAGACUCAAAAAAUUUGUGUCUUUAUAUGUUUUUUUAGGUUGAUGGAAUAAUGAGAGAAAAAAGGGUAUAUAUAGAUUUUUUUGUUUGGUUACCAACAUAUUACCAUUGCAUAUUUACAUCAAAUUUACGUCGAAAUAAAAUUUACAUCACAUUUACAUUGAUUUUACGUCAAUUACAAGAUAGAGGACAAUUAGUCGUAUUAUCAAUGUUAAAUAUUACGACAAUAUUACGACGAAAUAAAAUUUGUUCUUCAUUCGUCGUAAUAUCGUCGUAACAUUACGACGAUUUUACGAGGGUCAUUUUUUACGUCGAAUUUACGAUGAAAUUUUUGAUCGUCGUAAAUACGACGUAAUGUCGUUCGUAAAUUUACGACGACUAAAAAUCGUCGUAAAUAAUUUGACGGAAAAGCCCCUCAUUCUUGUAGUGUUAUAUAUUCUCUACGUGCAUUCUCCCCACCGCAAUAUUAGUGAACUUUGGCGGCCAAAGGUUCCCUUAGUAAAUAAGUGUAUGCAAACUCAUUCAAUUUAUGCAUUUGAAUUGAGUGUCCCGGUUCCAAUGAUAAAUGGAAAAAGAUUGGUUUCUGAAUGAAUCUACAAAUUACUCUUACAACCAAAAAUAUGAAUUGAAAUAGGAAAAAUGAAAGGAUAGCGUAAAUACAGUCAGUAGUGGCACAAACUCAACAGCGAUGACAAGUAAAUCGAGAUUCGAGACAAUUUGUAUCAGUCUUUAUUUAUUUUAAUCUUAACUCUUUGCUUUCCCUAUAUAAAUUUGACUACCGAUGAGAGAAGGUCCAUGCAUCAGCAUCAUUCAUGCAUGCAUUAAUGCAUUUCUCGUCAUAUCUUCAAAAUGGUUGAAGAAUAUAAUAUUUGUCAUCAGAGUUUAUGAAAAUUGUGUCACGCGUUAAUCUUUGGAUAUUUUUCUUUCCACUAAGUCCUAAUCAUCAUUAGUUACACAACUUACAACGUAUAAAUUAGAAAAAACAACUUUUGAAAGCCUUUAGUUCCAAAAAAUUAUAAUCAUGAAUUAGAAAAAGGCUUUGGAAAUGGUUAAUUAAAAUAAUUUGUUCCGAGUUACUAGAAUUUUACUUACAAUGUUUAAGAUAAUAGAUAAAUAUUCGUGAAAGUAUGUAAGAAAAUCAUGUGGCAUUUAAUUAUUAUCAUCUAAUAAGACUAAUAUCUAUGACUCAAUAUGUAUUUACUUUUUUUCUUACCUUGAGAUAUUAAAUCACGAAAAAGAAAACAAAUUAUCCAAUAUAUUAAUAACUCUGCGUAAUCCUCGCGUGCUUGAGUUUUGAGGAAAAAAUAGGGACAAUUCUGACAAAGAAAAUGAACGAAAAUGCUUAGGAGAAUUUUGUAUGAACCUUGAGAGCUAAUUUCUCCGCGAAUUUUUCUCGUCGACUUUUCUCGGAAAAAAAAGGUUGAAACUUUUUUGGUCUCCCUGGUCAAAAUAUUGGUUUGGUUGAGCGCACCGACGACAAUCGCAUUGAGCUUAUUGUCAAAUUGGAUCUGGCCGCAAUCAUUAGCACCAACUCUUUCGCUUUUGUGCUGUCUCUUGUUUUCUCGCAACGUGUAUUGAUCUGGAGGCAAAUGUUGAAGCUUUAUUGAAUUGGUCUUUCAGGGAAAUUGCAUCGAAGUCAGCUCCAAAAUUCUAGAAUUUCGAUCAGGGUUGUUGAUUGUUUCUGUUAAAGUUUCGAUCUUGAUCAAAUUUCAGCAAAAGGGUCUACAUUAACAAAAAAAAGAAAGCUGUACUAUUUAUUGGGUGAUUUGAUUUAAAAGCAUAUUAGCCUUUUGAUUACGCCGUUGUUGUUGGAUUCUUUUGGAGUAUCUGAUGAAAUGAGAAGCAAUAGAUAUGCUUGGAAUGAUUCGAGGAGGAAUGUGUUAUCAUAAUUGGGCUUGUUUGGUUGUCUGGUUGACUCUGCUUUCUGGGUUCUUGGUGAUAACAUUGGAUGGGAAUUCAGAAAAAGAUGAGGCUUUUCUUAGUCAUUUCAAGGCUCCAUCAACAGGGCAGGUCAAUGAGCAAAUGGUAAAUAUCGUCUUUUGCAUUUCAAGCUUGUAUGAUUCUAUUUUGCAUCAUAACUUACUGUCAUAUCUGAUGGAUUUAUCUGUGAGGGUUUAAAAUUGUAUAAGCUAGGAGAUUCUAUAGCUCUAUUACUCUGUAGUAUAUUUUGAAGGCGAGAUUUGAAGGACAGUUGCCUGUUUCUUGCUUAAAGUCCGGUUUUAUGGACUAAGAUUGCAUUUUCUUUUAUGGUUUUGGUUCGUAUUCCUUGGAGGAAUCUAGAUAGUCUGAGAAAGAAAAUCAAGAUCAUUACUGUAUCCUGCCUAUAGAAGAAAGCCUGUGGUUUUCGAAUCUGUGUCAGUCAUGUAAUAUUGCUGCCAUUGUUUUCAGUCCAUGCUCGUCACUAUCUUUGGUUUUUUUCGUUUGUAUGAAGACAUUUUUAUCGUCUGUUAAGUUUGUAUCAAAUUGAACGAAACCUCUAGGUUUGUAGCUUGAAGUGUCUGAUUCUGAUAGCAAUCACUCACAAGCUAAAAAUAUGGAAAGUAAGAGAUUUGGGUUGACUGAUGAAUAAUUGAUUGUGAGAGAAUAAAAGGCAUUGAUGAGAGUUUUCCAAAUCUGUUAGUCAUGAGUUUUUCUAUAUAAUAAGCUCUUGCAAGAGCAGUAGGGAUAUUCUGAUAGCAAUCAAACACAAGCUAAAAAUUCGGUUUUGAUUGAAACCGAAUGGAGCAAGAGUCAUGUCUCUUGUAUUUCCUUAGUUUUUUUCUUUCUAAUAGUCGGUCUCGAACUGUGUUGGAAAGAGUUGAGCUUUACGUGCCCAAUGUGAUUGGAGGUAAGUCAAAAAUUAUCUGUAGCAUGUGCCACUUUCCUCCAUCACAUUCGGCACGUAAAUGUCGACUCUUUCCAACACGGGCCCAGGCUCUUUCUUGUACAAUAGUUUCAAGCCUCAGUUUCUGAUUCUCCAUAUGUAACUACGCUAUUCAUUUUUUUUGGUAGCUAGUAUGUAUAAUUUAAAAGAUCUUGUAGACUUUAUCCAGAUAUGAGUUAUAGCCUGUUUCCUGCUGAAAUGUGUUUAGGUUUUAUAUGCUAAGAUUGCAUUUUUGGUUUUGAUUCAUGCUCCCUAUAAGAAGAUUAAGAUUAUUCCAGAACGCUUAUAUACUUCUUACAAAAUAGUCUGGAUACGUCAUUCGCAAUCAUGCUUGGAUUUACAGUUGGCUGUCUCUUAGUUAAUGAUGAUAUG